UUAGUUUGAAAACCACCUUCCCUUGUCCAUCCACUUUGACAGCAGUAGCAUUCCCUAUGAACAAAGAUUCUCCUUCGUUGAGUGGUUGGUAUGAAGAGAACAUCUCUUUUGUAGAACAAACAUGCCUUGUAGCACCAGUAUCCAUCCACCAAUCAGUUGAAUUAGUAACCAAGUUUGCUUCAACAGCAACCACACCAAUGAAUUGAUUUUCAGUUUCAGCAAGGUUGGCUUGGUUGGAAUUUCCAGAACCUCCAGCACCUCCUUGAUCUUUCCGAAGGCGACACUCUUUAGCUCUAUGCCCUGGUUUGCCACACACCCAACUGUCACAUCCCGACCCUUAUAUUUUUACCUUAUUUACUAGCUUGAUUAUAAUAAGAAUUUUACCGUCUCCGUCAUUGAGUUAAUAGUUUAAUUGGUCUCUAGAGGAGUUUCGGGGACGAUUAUGUGCAGAGGAUUAUUCGUAGGAGAAAGUUACGACGACGGUAAAAAUAGUAAAUUUUAGCUAGUAAAAUGUAAUUUUUAUUCGGGUAUUAUUUUUCGGGGUGUUUUAUUUUUGGAGUUGGGUUGUUUAAAGGUGUGGACCGGGUUUGGAGAGGCCCAAACCCAUCUCUCUUUCUCUCUCUUUCUUCUCUCUCUCUCUCCCCCGAUUUCCUCCCGAGCCCCUCCCUCGCCGGAACUUCUUGCCGUCCGUACGCCGCCAUCCGGCCACCAUCUGCCGUCGCUCCGGUCCCAAACUGACUGCCUCCGACCCAACUUCCAUUCUAGGCCGGUGAGAGGAGCCCUAGCGCCACCGUGAGAGAGCGAUGCCACCCGAAAGGUUUGACUGCCUAGAGCUUCCGGUCGCCGGAACUCCCUCCUCCGGCCACCAAAACCGGUGAUCCUUGGCUCGUUUUGUAGCCCUCCUCCCGUGCAGCAACCCCUCCAAUCAGCUCACUCCCUCUUGAGCUAGGUAAGGAGAAAUGUGGAGUUGAAAUUUCUAGGGCUUUUAGGUGUUUGUGUUCGAUUGCCCUAGUUAGGCUUGGAUUUUGGGUUUGUGCUGGUCAGAAAAGUUGUAGAGCAUGAUGAGGAGAUUAUUCUGUCAAAAUUUCAUAGGUUUUGGAGGUCGCCGGAAUUGGCAUCCGGCCGCCGCCGCCGCCGCCGGUUGGGAGAUUUUAAUGUUGUUAAAUUUGGAAUAUUAAGGGGAGUUUAUUGAAGUGAGUUAUGGAAUUUUUGGAUGAGUUUUGGAUAGGUUUAUGAAUUUCCGAGUUAGUAUUUUGGGCGGUUAAUUUAUGUAGAAUCCGGCCGUUGGAUUAAAGUUGUUUAAACUGUGGGAUGGUGUAGUUACGGCUGCUGGUUCUAGGGUUGAAAUGUGGACCAUUUCGAAGUUAGGCAAUGAUGAGCGUGUUAAUGGCUCUCGGUUAAUUUCUGCCUAUUUUGUGUAAAUAUUGGAAUUUCGGCUGGGAACUUAAUAUUAUAUUUGGAACAGGUCGUGCGGAGGCUCGAGCUGACGAGGCCCCAGAUCGACAUCAGGCUUAGGCCUAAUUUGUGAGUAGACUUUUGUUUUAAAUAAUGUGCAUGCGAAAUAAUUUAUGUUGUUGGAGAAUAACCGAAAUUGAGAAUUUCAGUGAGUAUAUAUAUAUAUAUAUAUCCAUAUGUGGAUGAUUAUGAGAAUAAUAUGUAUAUGAGAGAAUGCUAGCUAGCUAUACGUGCUUUUCCACCAUACUGAGGUAAAAUUUCAUUAUGGUGCGACGUGAGUGUUAGACGCAAUCGUCGUAGCCCUAUAUAAAAAUAAUAAUUUAUAUAGAGGAUAUGCGCGUAUAUUUAUACACCGUCUUUUCCACCAUAAUGAGGUAAAAUGCCAUUAUGGUGCGACGUGAGCGUUAGACGCAAGCGUCGUAGCCUUGUGUAAUUUUCUUAUUUUGUUUUUUGUUGUUUACAAAGAAAAUUCAUACAAGGGAUAUGACGAGUGUAAUACAUACAUAUUUAUUUUAGCCUGAGAGGCUGUAUUUUAUUGAGCGUUGGAGACUGGCCGGAGCUAGUCAUGAAAUUUUUAGUUUUCGUGUUGAGUGUUUUGAGCUGUCGCAUGCAGCAUAUUUUUCUAUGGAAAAGUAAAAUUGGGAAAGCAUAAAGAAUUAUUUCAUUUAUUUUAUCUUUGUCUACUCACUCUAACGUGUUCAAAUGUUUCCCCUGGGCCCUUCGUUUUAAAAUGCCCAGUCUGCAGAGUUCGGGUUGGACCUAGUAGGAGACGAGGCAUAGUCACCCGCAUUUCCACCACUUUUCAUCAGUAGGUUACCUGUUUAACCUACCUGUGGUUUCUUUUUCCGCUAGUGUUUAGUAGCUAUGAAUACUUGGGUUUAAUGUAUAUUAUUUCAGUUGUGGGUGAAGACUUGUUGACGUCUUAGAAUAUUUGUUGGAGGAUUUAUGUUAUCUUUUGGAUAAUUAUAUUUGAUGUUUGGAUAAUGUUGUGUUGUUGGUGGUAGUUGUAUUUGGGGAGCACGUAGGCUCCAGGAGUUAAGGUUGGAUUAAAAUUUUUGGAAGUGUUUGCAGGUUUUCUUUAGGAAGGGUUGUCCAUUUUCAAGGGAGGUUAUGCCGAUUUUUCGGUAAUAUCUUUCUUGGAGGUGGUCCCCGCAUGUUUUACUCCGGGUUUCAGGGUGAAAUUCAGGGUGAGUCGUGUUACCCAACAGCCUCCCAUUUGUGGCUUCUUGAAAACCUUGGUCUUUUGUGGGGCAAGAGGAUUCUUUCCAGCAACAAAAGUUGGCUUGGCAGCAGCAACAGACUUGCCUUUGUUUUUUUGAAACUUGGCCUUUGAUGGACUCCCUCCAACCAUAUUAGCAGUUGGCUCCAAGGAAAUAGCAUCAGCCUUUUCAUUCUUUCGGUUAUCCUCUUCAACUAGAAGUUUAAGAACCAAUUGCUCAAAAUUCAUAUCCUCAGUUAGAUGUUUCAGAUAAAUUUUGAAAUCUUUCCAUGAAGGUGGUAACUUUUCAAUAAUAGCACCAACAAGGAAAUUUGGGUUAAGACCCAUACCUUCAACUUCCAACUCAUGAACAAUGACUUGGAGUUCCUCCACUUGCUUGACAACAGACUUGGCAUCGCUCAUCUUGAAAUUCAGAAACUUGCCAAUGACAAACUUCUUUGAACAAGCAACCUCAGUCUUGUACUUGUUCUUUAAUGACUGCCACAAUUCCCUUGCUGUUUUGAAUGUAGAGUAAAUGUCAUACAGAGAGUCAUCCAAGGCAUUAAGAAUGUAGUUUCUACAUAGAAACUCAUUAGUUUUCCAAGUGUCCAUGGCCUUCAAAUUAUCAGCCUUUUCAGCCUCUGUUGGAGCAUUCUCUCCUUCUCCUUCUGGCAGAGCCUUAGGAGCCUCAGCAGUCAGAACUUUCGCCACAUGAAGGGUCGUCAAAUAGAACAACAUCUUCUGUUGCCAGCGUUUGAAAUUAGAACCCUUGAAUUUCUUAGGUUUCUCGACAUGAUUUUUCAUCACCGAAGAUACAGAUUGAUCCAUCUCUACAAAAUUAGAGAAUUUUAUGUCUUAAAUUUUUGGUCUAUCAUUAUGAUGUUGAAGGUAUACACAAGAACACAAUCAUGGAAUCUGCUAAAGCAGAAUUCUUUGAGCAUGUUUUUCCCUACAAGGACAAGGAUAAAGAUACAUCCAAUCCAAGGAAAAGAACGUUACAUCAAGAUGAGUUAAACCAUGAUGCUGAAACUGAAUGAUAGACCAAAAAUCUAUGCAGAAUCAAAAAUCUCUUGGUUUGACAAAAGACCUUAAUAGAGAGCAUGUCGUGUUUACAUCGAGGGGAAUAGGCUUAAAGCCAAUACAAUGAGUCAUUACGUGGCGGAAACCUAACCUAGCAACAUUGGAGAUCCCAUGGUCUAGGUUCAAUAGGCAAACUAGUUGGGGAAGACUCAAAGAGCAUACACACUUAUGCUCAUUCCUAUGAUGAACCCAUGUGUAUAAUCCGUUGAUGUAUAAGAGGUGAAUAUCCAUUUAUUCUUAAUAAUGCUAAUAGCCUUCUUGGUGGGAUAGUACGAACUAUUCACGAGUUCUAAGCCAAAAUCGAACAAUUGCAUCUGUCCAUACAGUUGUAACUGUUCUCCAACAGUUAUGUUGGUCGUAUUCGAUUUUUAACUUCCAAAAAUAUUCCAGAAAUUAAAACAGAUUUUAAUCAACUAGAGCCCCAAGGCCAAGGCCCAUCUUUUGACUAUAUAUAUAUAUAUAUAUAUAUAUAACUAAACCCCACCAAACCCAAUCAAGGCUGUACAUCAACCACUUAGUUUCAAGGAGAGUACCUUAUAAGGACUACCACCUUUGGUUCUUCUUCCAUGUGGGAUACAUCCCACACAAGACCCCUCAAAACUUCCCAAGUGGAACUAUGAUGAGUCUAGCACAGGCCAAGCUCCAAGGGAGAACAGUGAGGUCAUCCUCUACUAAGAUGUUCUCUUUAUUUCUUGUGAUUAGCAGUUUUUUUUUAUUAUUGCGCGCAAGAGUUCAUAGGAGAAUCAGAGUUUUGUCGAAGUUAAAAGUGGAUUAUAUCUUGUAAAUAGUUUGCCUAUUGCUUUCUUCACUGGGUAUGUGUUUUUCUUCUUAAUCUCGGGUUUUAUUUUUGAGUUUUGGGUAUUUUUUAAUCACCAAUUUGGGCGAUCCAUGGAUAUGUGUUUAUCAUACUCCUUAGUUCUUCAAUCUCUUUUCCUGCUUUAAUCAAAUUUGAUGUGAUUGACUGCUAGUUUGUAUUUGUUUCGAGGAUAUGAGACUUGUUCUGGGUUGUGUUUGAGAUUAUAGAUUCAUAAUUACUCUAGGGUUAGUCCAUAUUGUGUAGCUGAAAAUGGGCUGUCAUUGCCUUUAAAUGAUGCAAAGUAAAGAGCUUCUCAGCUUGAAAAAGAAGAAGAAGUAAAUGUAUGUUAAACAAAAGAGCUUCUCAGAAGGCAUCCAUGUGAGUCUUAUGUUUGUCAUGUCCUUUGGAAAGUUGUACAUCAUUGUUUAAGGUCUCUGGACUUUAGUUCUAGUUGAUAAUAGAUUUGUAUAUGUUAAUGUCAUCUCUUAAUUUAUUUACCUAUACACAUGCAGCCUCUUGUUUAGCUUUGUAUUCCUGACUUUCCCCUAUUUCAAGUAUUCUGUAGAUUAAAGAAGCAUUACUUAUUUGUGGGUUUUGUGCUCUUGUAUCAAAGUUGCAAGAAUUUUACUGAAAAUAGCACUUUUCCUCAGUAUUUCAAUCUUAUGAGCAUGCAAAUUAUAAUCAUUAGGCAGAUACAUGAGUCCUUUCAAUUUUCUGAUCGGCCUAAUUUAAUACUUGAUAGCAUUUAUGUUUUUAGAUGCUACCUAUCUGACUUAAGGCGAAGGGAUUGACAUUGUACCAUUUGAAAUGUCAUUUGCAGGUAUAUCAUUGCCUUAUAGCUUCUUUUUCUUGUUUCUAAUUUCCUCUCUCUAGUUGAUAUUUGGUUUAUUCAUUCACUCUAGUUUUGGAUGCAUUAGUGCAUGGAUAGCUAAACUAGUCAUUAUGCAGAAGUAUAGACUUGGACAGUAGACUUGGAAGCAAAGCUCUUCGGAACAAGACAGAGAGACAUUGGUUAGCACUUUAUAAAUCUUGAAACAAUUUGUUCAUUUGUUCACGAGUGUUCAUUUGUUUUAGUUAGUCCAUGAUUGUGUUCUAGUUUCUUUAGAUAGCCUUGUUAUUUACAAUGACAUAAUGCUUUCAGGUUUUUAACCAAAUUAAAUGAACUGAACUCCACUGUACUUGUUCUCAUUUUUGGUAAAGUAAAGAGCCGAUAAGCUUUCUUGGUAAGGUCUAUAUUAACAGACUUAACAUUACCGGUCUUGCACUUUGCUUUGUAUAUCCAUUUGUUGCAUGUUUAUCUGACUAUGAAUAAUGUAUAUGUCAUAUGUAAAUGUUGUUUUGGUAUGUCAAAGAUUCCUUGUGCUCUAAUGUCACCAAAAUGACAUAUCUAAUUUCUUGUGCAUUUGAUUUUCUUGCUUUGGUAACUGAAGCAUUUUGUUGCAUGGAAACACAGAGUUGCAUAUACUAUAUGUUGAUUGGAAUUACAUGAUCGUCAUUGCAGAAACUUUGUUUCAACUUUUAAGUAGACGCAAAGAUUUCAAAUGUCAGAGUGGUGCUACAUUUUGGUUUAAGAUGUGGUGGUGAUCUAGAGUAAGAUUGAUUUGAUUACUGAGAUUGUUCCCUCCAAGUGAAUGCAUCUUUAAGAAAGGAUGUCAUACUGCCAAUAUCCAGUAUUCUUUAAGAACUGCCGUUUUCGGGAUCCCUUCUAUGUACGAGUCUGAUGACGAGGUGGCACUUGAAAUGGCUGUUUACAAAGUUGCAGCACAUUUGUUCUCAUAGCUUUGCAUUGCACUUGUAGAAUAUUCAGAGUAGAAGAUUGAAGGUUAAUCAUCUGUUACAAUUCUUCUUCUGCAAGUUCAAAUUUGUCAUUAUAGAAUGUUCACACUUGUGUAGUCACUUGUAUUAUGUAAUAUUUUAAAAAUUUUUCUUUAAUAUGAAUAUUGUAAUGAUGAUUGAGAAAGGAAUAAAAGAAGAUGGGAAUACAUUUUUUCUCUCUUUACUUUUAUCGAAAUUAAUAUGUAUUGAAUAUUUAUUUUUAUUGAAAUUAUUUUUAUUCAUAUAAUAAAAUAUAUAUAAUUGGAAAUAAAUUAAACUGAAAAUUUUCAUUAGAACCGACUUCUGAGUCCAUAUCAGAUAACAAUUUUAAGAACAAGCAUGGUCUGACUAGUGAUCACACAACUGUUAUUCUGCAAAACCAUGAUGUGAUUGUAUGUCACACGACACAAAAUAUGUCAAUACGUUGUCGACAUAUGUCGUCAUUCCAUGGCUAUCGACAUAUGUCGACAGUAGUUAGACGACGUUUCUACAAUACAACAUAUGACACGUAAAAAGAUAACAGUAAUCUGAACAAUUAAACGACGUUUUUUGACCGUGGUCUGAUUUUUUUGUGGUAGUGAUGUUUCAAACAAUAGUUUCAAUUUUGAACAACAAGCAUAAAAAGCUGAAAUGAACAAACAAUUCCCUUUUUGACUUUGGAAAAUGGUGCAGUGUUAUAGUAAAGAAAAUUUGGCUUAAAAAGAAGAGGAACAUAACUGGCAACACAAGGUAAUUGAGAUGACACCGAAUUUCUUAUUCAGUGGGAAAGUUUUUAAACAAUCUAUGUUUAUUAGGAAGAAUUCGGACAAAUAGCUAAACUUCACAUGAUUGACAUAUGGGACAGCCAAAACACCUAACCAAGCUCCAUUUUCAUAGGCCGUUCCGUAUACCCCGUUCAAUGAGUCUACUACUUCGUCUACAUUCAGUUUGAUAGCCCCUGCUCUUGGCCUUUUCCAGAUUACCAAACUCCUAUUGUUUAUUGCUGUUUGUUUCUUCCUAUCUCCAAUGUGCUCAGAUUCUUCUAUCCCUUUCUCAGCUUGUUCCAAGAGCUCCCACCAUGACACAAACUUGUAAAUCAAAGCAUCAGAAGACAUAACCUCCCCUCCAUGUAUUCUUCUAUUUCGAUCAUACCAUAAAUGCCACACUAUAACAUUGAACCACUCCAAUUCCUUCUCAUGUGCUACUGUUAUAACAUUAAACCACUCCAUGUAUUCUAUUUCUUUCCACACCUUACAAACCUCUCGCAAGAAAGACUGCUCCCAUACUUGGCGAGCCCACGAGCACUCCCAAAAAACAUGCAUUGCAGUUUCCUCCCCAUAUCCACAUUUUGAACAGCAGCUCCAAUUCCCCACCUUCCUUCUUUUCAGCUCAGCUCUACACGGCAAAAAAUUAUUGCAGGCUCUCCACAUAAAGACCUUAAUUUUAUUAGGCAAGCGCAAGCCCCAAAGUUUCUCCCACCCAACUUGGACAACGCUGCCAUUCCCCGUUCUAUUGUUAGCUUUUGUUCCACAUUCUCUACGAAUCCUCUCCUGAUCAGCAACCCAAUAACCUGAUUUGACCGAGUAUCUUCCAUUUAUACUGUAAUGCUAGAUGAGCCUAUUAUUGCAAACUUGUUCUGGAAAAUAUUUAAUUGAACAGCUCCAAAUCUGUGAAACUAAACCUCCAUUCGAUUUGCUCCUACAUAGCUUAUUCCAUUUGCACCAAUGAAUGCCUUAUUUCCCCCCUCUUUUCCCCACCGAAAUCUCGAUACCUUCGACAUGAACAUUUUGAGAACACCCUUUGGUAGUUUGAACACACUGAUGGUGUAAUUUGGGAUGGCUUGAGCAACAGCUUUAAUUAGAGUCAUCUUCCCUGCUUUUGGAAGAUGUAAUACCCCGGAAAUUUAUUGUUAGUUUCUAAUUUUAUUUUGGAAUUUAUUUAAGUAAGAGUUGUAUGGUUUUGUGGUUUAGUGAGUGGACUAGAAGUAGUCGAGUUUUUUUUAUUACCGUGAAAAUGCUUUAUUUUGAAGGGUCAAGAGUUGACUUUUUAAUUUUUUGGGUUUCUCGGAAAACUUCCUUCACGGAAGCUGUAGAGCACGACGAUACGAGUUCGUAGACACGUGGCACACAUAAAACGGACUUCGUAUGUAGAAGUUAUGGUCAACGGAAGUUCGUGGCUUUACGAAAAUUUUGGGUUAAAUAUCAAAAGUUUAGAGUUUCCUUUCAUUUUUUUCCGGAAACCUUUCCUCCUCAUUUUCUUUCUCUCUCUCGCGACACCUUCACUGUCAGAGUUUCCCAGCCGACCCGACCCGGACCCGGCGACCCGACCCGACUUUUCCGGCCAACUCCGGCCGACCCAGACGACGGCACCGGUCGGGUUCUCUUCCUCUCCUCCGUCCGAGCUGCCCUGUGGUGGUGACUUGCGCCGUUUCAACCCCGAAUCGGUGACCCGAAGCUCGGAAGCUCGGGUUAGAGACCCGGUCGAGUUUCAGACCUCCGGCGGCGGCGACAAGGCGGGAGACUGUUCGGGAUAGGAGCCCCGUGGCGUCCUGGUCCGACUUCUGGUGGCCCUGGAGCGUGACUCUCGGUGUAGAGUGGUGGUGGUGGAAUUUGACAUUCCUGGCGAGUUUCCGGCGACUUCCCGGCCGUUUUGGUUUCGACCUCAGGUAUGGAAGUUGCUCUCCUUGCUCUGAGCUAUACUUUUGGUGUUGGAAGUUUGUCCGUUUUCAAAGGUUAGUGGGCUGGCGCGUGGGGCCCACGCGCAGUCGCUAGGGGCAGCGCGUAGCGGUGUGUCCGUAGGUGGUUGUGGUGUUUGUGUUGUUGGUUAGGUAGUACUCGUUGAUACGAUCAUGUUGAUAUGUGGUUUGUAGGUUUUGGUUACCGAUGAUGCAUGCUAAGGUUUCCCUCUCGAAUGCUAGGUUUCGUUCGGUUUCCAUUUUUGAGUAUAUCUGAUUUUUAGAAAUCUGGUUUGUGGUUUUAUAAGUUGUGUAGGAUGUUCAGGCGACCUUUUUGAGGUAUAGGGAGAGGUUUUGUCUCGAGUGACAAGUUUGUGGGUUAGGACUUGAGUUUUGGUUCGAGUCGGUUUAUGUUGUUUUUGNNNNNNNNNNNNNNNNNNNNUUAGUUGUGGAUGUAUGCCUUAGUGGUGAUUUUGUGCAUUAGUUGUGGAUGUGUGCCUUAGUGGUGAUUGUGUGUAUUAGAUUAGGAGCCUUCGUGGUGGACCGGGAACCAAGCCUUGGCCGGGUGAUUGGUUACGGUCAGUAUAUAGCUCUAGUCUGUUGGUACUUAUGGGGGAUGACUAUGUGUUGACGAACCCAUGAGUACGUGUUUUGUCUAGUUACUUAUGGGGGAUGACUAUGCGUUGGCGAACCCAUAAGUAAGGGUUGAGAAAUGAUUGUGUGGUGUUCUUAUUUAAAUUCUUCGCUUUGAGUAUCUCCUGAACUAUGCUUAUUCGCAGGGGAUUCUCAAAUUUUAAUCGUGUGAUUUUAAUGGAAUUCCUGAAUUAUAAUUUUUGUAGGAUUUCAUUUAUGAUUUUUGAGUGAUUGAGAAUUGUUGUGUUUUCUUAAUUUCAUCUUUUGAUUUUCUCUUGCUUGGAAGUGUUUUCCUGAAUUUUUUUUUUUUAUGCAUGAACUCUUGGUUUUAUCUUAUGAGUUGUUGGGUUGAGUCUGUUGUUGUAAAUUUACUCAUACGAGCUUUUAAAGCUUACCGGGUUUGUUGUUUACAACCCGGUGCACCAUUCCAUGGUGUAGAGGUUGAUUUUGCAGGUGAGGAAGUUCAAGACUGAGACGUGGAGGUCUAGAAGCUGUUUGUUAGGAGUUAAACAUUUUGUUAUUGUAUGUCAAAUUGUAGUGAGCUCUUUUGAGCGUGACCUUUACUUGACUUCUCAAGUUUUGUAAACGUUGAAUUUUAUUAUAUGACUCUUUUUAUUUUUGUUAUCAUGCCUUAAAUUUGGAUUUUUAUUUAUCCGAAAUUUGGGGUGUGACAGUUUGGUAUCAGAGCCUAGGUUUACAUAUUUGGUGAUAAUCAAUACUUCGGAGUGAUGGUCCGACUGCAGCGGGAUCACCAUCAUAAGCUCUUCGGUAUUGAUAUGUCAUUGGGUAUGUGAAGGGUUAGGUGUCGCCUCUAGGUUAAUAGGAUGCCAGAGUAGAGAGUACUCUGUUAGUGGGAUUUUGAAUCCUUGUGUCCACCUUGAGUUAGUGACUUGGUUAAUAAAUGUUGCAUUUGACUUAUACUUUGGUUUAAGUUUUAUGCAUGAGUUAACCAAGGUUUACUUGCUUCUUAGGUGAUGGAUCCUCCGCGAGGGAGAGCUAGAGGCCGAGGUAGGGCCAGAAGGGCCGGUAGAGCCAAAGGGGCAGGUGGGGCCAGAGGCAGAGGUAGGGCUCCACCUGUGGAUGAUUUCUUUGAGGAGGAGGUGGUGUUGGAGGAGCCGGUGCCAGUCGCUGUAGAUGAUGGUCUACGAUUGGCCAGGCUGGCUCAGGGUAUCAUUAGGUUAGGAGCGCCUUCCUUUCUUGGAGGUACGGACUUCCUAGUAGCGGAUCACUGGAUAGAGGGCAUGGAGACAUACUUUACCCUUAUCACGUGUACGGAGAUUGAGAAGAUGCGUAUUGCUACGUUUCUUCUCAAAGAUGAGGCACGGGUAUGGUGGAACGGGGUAGAGAGAGCUAGAGAUGUGACCGCUUUGUCUUGGGAGGGGUUCGUACAGCUCUUUCGGGAGAAGUAUUUUCCUGAUACUGUGAGAGAGCAGUUGGAGCUUGAGUUCAUAGCUCUAGUGCAGGGCUUGAUGAGUGUCAGGGACUAUAAGGCACGUUUUUCUCAGUUGUAUCGAUUCGCGAGAGAGAUGGAUGCAGUGGCCUUGCCACGGAAGUUUAUUCGGGGUUUGAGGCAUAAGCUCCGGAAUGUUGUAAGUUCACACCGUUUUGCUACUCUAGCAGAAGCGGUAGAGAGUGCCCUUGCAGUUGAGCAGGAGGAGGCCAUGCAUGAGGCUGAGGGACUAAGAGAUGUGCAUGGGAAGGGGAAGGCCGUUGCAGGAGGCAGUGGCUCUGAGGGUCUUCAUGGUGCGUCUGGGAAGAGGCAGCGGACCGAUCAGCAGGCUCUAGCUACGGUGCCAGCUGCACCUAUCCGACAGGUAGAGCCCUUGAGAUGCUACCGUUGCGAUGGGUUAGGACAUAUUGCUAGGGAGUGCCAUAAGCGGAAGACUCAGGCUUGCUAUAGUUGUGGGCAGGUGGGGCACCUGGCUAGGGAGUGUACUCGACCUCAGGAGGACAGAUAGGGGUACCAGCAGAGGCAGUUGCCUCCGACCCAGUAGUAUUCAGGUGAGCUAUUUGUUUAACUAUUGUUAGGUUGCGGUGGGUGAAGUCUUGUCGUUUGUGCCUUGUGAAUGUAGUUAAAAUUUGUGUGGUAGACCUUCUGUCUGAAUGAGUUUUUGUGUGGAUCUGAUGCCUUCAUGAUUUAUUGACUUGUAGCAGUGUUGAUUUAUGUUGUGUGGCAAAGUUCUUUUGAAAGCUUGUAGUGUCAUAGUGAGUUGACGAGGAUGCAAUGCAAAUAUUGUUUUGUUUUGAGUUCACAUUCUUGUGUAGUUUGUGUGUCGUGCUAUGGCUUGCGAUUUAACUUAGGAGUCUUGAAAAAGAAUUAUUUGGUUUGUUUGUAUGAGGGAUUUAAUUCAUGAGAUUAUUUUUGAUUUAUUACUUUUGUUGAGGUGGUGGUUGUUUAUUUGGGGGAGCGGAUGGCUCCAGGAGAUGUGGAUUAAUUUGUUUUCGAAGUGUCUGGGUUUUGGUGAAUUUUCUUUCAGGCAGGGUUACCCAUUUUUAAGGGAGGUUAUGCCAAAAUUUUGGUAGAAUUUCCCUUGAGGUGGGUCUCGUAAGGUCUAUGCCGGAUUUCAAGGGGCAAAUCCGAGGUAGGUCCUGACAAUUAGCAGAGUAGUGGUAGUGUAUUUUGUAGAGACGUGUUAUCGUGUUUUAUUUUAUGAGUGGUUGGUUGAGGUUUGACUUUAGUGAGACGAGUGUUUUUGGAAUGGUCUAGCUCUUUGUGAGUGAUGAACUAGUUCGCAUCCUUAGAAACCCUUGUUUCUGUAUAGUUAGUCAUGUGGUGAUAGUGACUUUAUGUAGGGAAGUGUGUCUCUGGUUGAUCAAUUUCCACUAGGUGGAAUGUGGAUUAGAGUGUUUAAAUUUCGGGGACGAAAUUUUCUUUAAGGGGGGUAGAGUGUAAUACCCUGGAAAUUUAUUGUUAGUUUCUAAUUUUAUUUUGGAAUUUAUUUAAGUAAGAGUUGUAUGGUUUUGUGGUUUAGUGAGUGGACUAGAAAUAGUCGAGUUUUUUUUUAUUUCCGUGAAAAUGCUUUAUUUUGAAAGGUCAAGAGUUGACUUUUUAAUUUGUUGGGUUUCUCGGAAAACUUCCUUCACGGAAGCUGUAGAGCACGACGAUACGAGUUCGUAGACACGUGGCACACGUAAAACGGACUUCGUAUGUGGAAGUUAUGGUCAGCGGAAGUUCGUGGCUUUACGAAAAUUUUGGGUUAAAUAUCAAAAGUUUAGAGUUUCCUUUCAUUUUUUCCNNNNNNNNNNNNNNNNNNNNNNNNNNNNNNNNNNNNNNNNNNNNNNNNNNNNNNNNNNNNNNNNNNNNNNNNNNNNNNNNNNNNNNNNNNNNNNNNNNNNNNNNNNNNNNNNNNNNNNNNNNNNNNNNNNNNNNNNUGAGUAAAUCUCACAUGGGUUCAUAAAGGAACCGAGUUUAAUUUAUAGAUUAUUAUUGUUAAUUGUGAAGUUGUCCUUGAAGGAAAAUGAUUUUUGUUUUUAAAUAUAAAUGAGCUUGAUCGUCAACGGCUCAAGGGUAAGUGAAAAUAUGUUUUCUGAUAAAAAUAAAAUCUUUCAAAAGGACUUCUGAUCAUGGGUUAUAAUUGGAUGUGUUCAUUGUGGUGAUUGUGUGCUUUCGUUGUGGAUUGGUGUCUUAGAGGUAAUUGUGGGUCUUUGUUAUGAAUGUAUGCCUUAGUGGUGAUUUUGUGCAUUAGUUGUGGAUGUGUGCCUUAGUGGUGAUUGUGUGUAUUAGAUUAGGAGCCUUCGUGGUGGACCGGAAACCAAGCCUUGGCCGGGUGAUUGGUUACGGUCAGUAUAGAGCUCUAGUCUGUCGGUACUUAUGGGGGAUGACUAUGUGUUGACGAACCCAUGAGUACGUGUUUUGUCUAGUUACUUAUGGGGGAUGACUAUGCGUUGGCGAACCCAUAAGUAAGGGUUGAGAAAUGAUUGUGUGGUGUUCUUAUUUAAAUUCUUCGCUUUGAGUAUCUCUUGAACUAUGCUUAUUCGCAGGGGAUUCUCAAAUUUUAAUCGUGUGAUUUUAAUGGAAUUCCUGAAUUAUAAUUUUUGUAGGAUUUCAUUUAUGAUUUUUGAGUGAUUGAGAAUUGUUGUGUNNNNNNNNNNNNNNNNNNNNNNNNNNNNNNNNNNNNNNNNNNNNNNNNNNNNNNNNNNNNNNNNNNNNNNNNNNNNNNNNNNNNNNNNNNNNNNNNNNNNNNNNNNNNNNNNNNNNNNNNNNNNNNNNNNNNNNNNNNNNNNNNNNNNNNNNNNNNNNNNNNNNNNNNNNNNNNNNNNNNNNNNNNNNNNNNNNNNNNNNNNNNNNNNNNNNNNNNNNNNNNNNNNNNNNNNNNNNNNNNNNNNNNNNNNNNNNNNNNNNNNNNNNNNNNNNNNNNNNNNNNNNNNNNNNNNNNNNNNNNNNNNNNNNNNNNNNNNNNNNNNNNNNNNNNNNNNNNNNNNNNNNNNNNNNNNNNNNNNNNNNNNNNNNNNNNNNNNNNNNNNNNNNNNNNNNNNNNNNNNNNNNNNNNNNNNNNNNNNNNNNNNNNNNNNNNNNNNNNNNNNNNNNNNNNNNNNNNNNNNNNNNNNNNNNNNNNNNNNNNNNNNNNNNNNNNNNNNNNNNNNNNNNNNNNNNNNNNNNNNNNNNNNNNNNNNNNNNNNNNNNNNNNNNNNNNNNNNNNNNNNNNNNNNNNNNNNNNNNNNNNNNNNNNNNNNNNNNNNNNNNNNNNNNNNNNNNNNNNNNNNNNNNNNNNNNNNNNNNNNNNNNNNNNNNNNNNNNNNNNNNNNNNNNNNNNNNNNNNNNNNNNNNNNNNNNNNNNNNNNNNNNNNNNNNNNNNNNNNNNNNNNNNNNNNNNNNNNNNNNNNNNNNNNNNNNNNNNNNNNNNNNNNNNNNNNNNNNNNNNNNNNNNNNNNNNNNNNNNNNNNNNNNNNNNNNNNNNNNNNNNNNNNNNNNNNNNNNNNNNNNNNNNNNNNNNNNNNNNNNNNNNNNNNNNNNNNNNNNNNNNNNNNNNNNNNNNNNNNNNNNNNNNNNNNNNNNNNNNNNNNNNNNNNNNNNNNNNNNNNNNNNNNNNNNNNNNNNNNNNNNNNNNNNNNNNNNNNNNNNNNNNNNNNNNNNNNNNNNNNNNNNNNNNNNNNNNNNNNNNNNNNNNNNNNNNNNNNNNNNNNNNNNNNNNNNUUUUUUUUUAUGCAUGAACUUCUUGGUUUUACCUUAUGAGUUGUUGGGUUGAGUCUGUUGUUGUAGAUUUACUCAUACGAGCUUUUAAAGCUUACCGGGUUUGUUGUUUACAACCCGGUGCACCAUUCCAUGGUGUAGAGGUUGAUUUUGCAGGUGAGGAAGUUCAAGACUGAGACGUAGAGGUCUAGAAGCUGUUUGUUAGGAGUUAAACAUUUUGUUAUUGUAUGUCAAAUUGUAGUGAGCUCUUUUGAGCGUGACCUUUACUUGACUUCUCAAGUUUUGUAAACGUUGAAUUUUAUUAUAUGACUCUUUUUAUUUUUGUUAUCAUGCCUUAAAUUUGGAUUUUUAUUUAUCCGAAAUUUGGGGUGUGACAGAAGAAGCUUACAAUUCCAACUAGAAAGAUGGACAUCAAGCCACUCCUACAUUUUUUUUUGUACAUAUCCUUUUUGCUUCUGCCUGCUAAUGUGGGAAGUCCAAGAUAUCGCUAAUCAAACAGAACCACUUGUACCCCUAAAAUCUGUAACAACUCCUCCUACACUUGAGCUUUUCACCCCCGACUUUAGGCCUCAUCAUCUGGACCUUUAGCCCUAGCCUUCCCUAAAACCCACCCUACCCUAUAGGGCCGAAACCCUACCAGGCCUUCCAUUAGGGUGGGCCGGCCCUAGCCUUUUCAAAUUGGGUAGGGCAAGAGUCAAGCAAAUGAAACCCGUCACUAACCUAUUGAGCCCUUUAGGACCAAACUCGGUCCAAUCUGGCCUUAAAUCGGCCCAAAUAAUUAUUUUUUCUUGUUUUUAAUGCAACUAAUCUUCUUUUGUUAUAAACUAAUGAAUAUGUAGAGAGAAAAAGAAGAACAACAUGUAGGAGGAGGAAAAAGUGUCACUUUCAUUCUCAUUAGGCUCCUUUAUAUAGGAGUAUGAUUUACAUCUAAAGAGAUAACUAAUAAGUAUUUUUACAAGGACAUCCACAUAUAUUAUAAUAUUUACAACACUCCCCCUUGGAUGUCCAUCAAUAAUAUGAUGUUGUCUCAUUAAAAAUCUUGCCAGGUAAUAAAAACCCUAUGGGAAAAAAAUAACCAUGGUUGAAGGAGAAAAAGAGUGCAACGCGCAUAUGUUCUAGGUAGCAUACUUCUGGAUGCUCCUCCUGAUGAGAAUCUCCGCCUGAUUGUUGUAAGCUUCAUAUACUGUAAAUAGCAGUUUGAUUUGUAUAUCACGAAAGUGAGAUAUUAUGCGUUUUGCAUACAGGGGCUCAUCGCAAAAUUUUCGUACCUGCAAAGUGAAAGCAAUACCAACAGAACUAUACAACUUUAAUUGGUCUUACCUCAUUUAGUAAUGUUAGAAACAACCUCACACGUUCAAAUUCAUACAUUAUGUAAUAACUAAGCAGUAGAAGCUAAUUAACACAUUACUAUGUAUGGUUCAAACCAUUGGAAGAUCAACAUGGCAUAUCUAGCCACUCAUAUCAAUAUCUUUGUUUAUUGAUACAUCUCGUAUAUGCUCUUCAAUAGCUUUAAGCAAUUCAUAACUUCGCGAAAGUUAUAAUAUGUAGCAACAUAAUCCGAAUUCGGUUUUGUAGUCCAAUCAUAAUACUCAUUGAGGAAAAUUUGAUCACGUUAACUAUAACAUAAUGAGUAUAUAUGAGAUAGCUUUAGACUAUCCAUUGCAUGAGUUAACUUUAGUUUAAUAGCCCAGCAUAACGAGAGAUAUGCUCGCCUUUGGGCCUCCCCCUCAUGCCUUUCCUCUUGGGUUCCAACCUAAGACACGUCUCACUAAUGGGAGUUGUGUUUGCAUGUAUAAGGCACAUUACAUCAUUUUGCUUAGGGAUUCAGACUCUCUCAUGUAUUCAUGAAUCAAUUUACAUUCGAAUCAUUCAUGUACUUGGAUCCUUUAAGGAUUCACUACCAGAAGAAAGGCUUUAGCCGACGUAAAUAAAAAAAACAGGCCAAAGAACAAUUUUUUCGUCAGCUAAAGUCCACUUUAGCCGACGAAAUUUUCCUUCGUCGGCUAAUUUAAAUUUUCGUCGGCUAUAGUCAACUUUAGCCGACGAAAUUAAAUUUUCGUCGGAUAAAGAAUUUUUUCGUCGGCUAUAGUCUGUGGACUUUAGCCGACGACAUUAAACAUUCUUUUUCGUCGGCUAAAGUGCUUUAUAUUUGCAGAUCUGGACAGCAGCUCAUCUGGGAAAAAAAAACGGGAGAAGAAAAAACAGGAGAAAAAGUUUGGGUGUUGUCGAAAUUUGUCCAUAAUUAGUUUGUGGGCUAUAUAUAGAUACGUACGUAUGUACAUAUGUAUAUAUAUGUUGAUUUUGAGUUUUAUUUGAGUUGAUCGAUUUUGAGUGUGAUUGAAUUGAUAGAUUUUGAGUACGUUGGAUGUAUAUAUAUAUAUGUGUGUUGAUCGAUUUGGUUGAUGAUUUGAUAAUAUAUAUGAUGUUGUGUUAAUAAUUAGUAGUAGAUAUAUAUAUAUAUAUGUUAAUUAAUUUAUAAUAUUGUGUUGAUGGUAUGAAGUUGUUGAUGAUGAUUUUGUGAUGAUGUUGAUAUAUAUAAUAUUGUUAUGUAAUUAUUAAGUAUAUAUAUAUAUGUGUGUGUUGAUUAAUUUGUUAUCAAUUAUUUGUUAUCAAUUUGUUAAUUAAUUAAUAUAUAUAUACUAAAUGAAUUGAGAUUUUAUAUAUGGUAUGAAAUUUAAUUAAUAAUUAGCUAGCGUUAUACAUAUAUAUUUUGUUAUAUUUUCAGGAUAUAUAUGGAUAAGAGUUGGAUUUCGCUUCCAAAAUAGGACAAAAGCUAUGGUAAAGGAGUUAUGAGUUUUCUGGAAUAUACGCUGGCUAAUGCUAACGGGAAUACAAUUUUCUAUUGCCCGUGCACGAAAUGUCAGCGUCGCAGCGAUAUGCAUCGAUUUGGGAUUGACAAAAUAUGACAGCACCUGAAGAGUAACGGGUUUUGGGAGAAGUACACAUGUUGGUUAUAUCACGGUGAAACAUCAUCAGGGGGUCCGCAUGAUCAUGGGCAAUUUUCUGAGACGGGCAGUACAUCGAACGAUCCAACAACGGCCUUCAUCAACGACAUGUUUCUUUAUGAGAGCGGUGUAUGCGCUUAAGGACAGUAUAUACCUGACCCGGUGCAACCCUUCCCUAGAGCUGUCAACACUGCUGGUAUUGACAAGUACAACAAACUGCUUGCUUUCCAACAGACCCCUAUGUACCCCGGUUGUCAGAAGACCGUUCUUGAAAGUGUAAUGGACGUAAUGAAGAUUAAAGUUGAGACAAAAUCGACUGUGAAAGCUAUUGAUGAUUAUCUACAGUACACUGUUUCGAUGUUGCCCCACGGUCAUCGUCCUCCUACCAGUCAUCAUAAGGACCGAUGUAUCUUGAAAGAUCUUGGGCUUUCCUACAUCAAGAUCCAUGCAUGCAGAUAUGACUGCGUUCUCUUCUGGGGUAAAGAUCCAGAAGGAAAUGACCUUGGUGGCCUUGACGCAUGUCCGGUAUGUCACACUGACAGGUAUAAGUAAGAUGACUCCUGCAGGCAACAUGAAACCUGUGAAGGUACUUUGGUAUUUACCUUUGAGGGAUAGGCUGGAGCGGUUGUACAUGUCUUCACACACGGCCGAAGCUAUGAGAUGGCACGUUGAUAAAGAAUUGCAUGACGAAGAUACCCUUAUACACCCUGCUGACGGGGAGGCUUGGAAGCAUAUAGACAGGGAGUUUCCUCAUUUUGCGUCAGAGGUCCGAAAUGUGAGGCUCGGGCUCUCAUCCGACUGGUUCAACCCUUUUGGCAACAUGAGUCUUCAAUACAGUGUAUGGCCGGUGAUUUUGGUACCGUACAACCUUCCUCCAUGGAUGUGCAUGAAGAAGGAAUACAAUAUGUUGAGUUUGUUGAUUCUGGGGCCCGGUUAUCCAGGGAAGUGUCUCGAUGUGUAUUUGAGACUUUUGAUUGAAGAGCUUAAAUUUUUGUGAGACGUUGGUCAUCCNNNNNNNNNNNNNNNNNNNNNNNNNNNNNNNNNNNNNNNNNNNNNNNNNNNNNNNNNNNNNNNNNNNNNNNNNNNNNNNNNNNNNNNNNNNNNNNNNNNNNNNNNNNNNNNNNNNNNNNNNNNNNNNNNNNNNNNNNNNNNNNNNNNNNNNNNNNNNNNNNNNNNNNNNNNNNNNNNNNNNNNNNNNNNNNNNNNNNNNNNNNNNNNNNNNNNNNNNNNNNNNNNNNNNNNNNNNNNNNNNNNNNNNNNNNNNNNNNNNNNNNNNNNNNNNNNNNNNNNNNNNNNNNNNNNNNNNNNNNNNNNNNNNNNNNNNNNNNNNNNNNNNNNNNNNNNNNNNNNNNNNNNNNNNNNNNNNNNNNNNNNNNNNNNNNNNNNNNNNNNNNNNNNNNNNNNNNNNNNNNNNNNNNNNNNNNNNNNNNNNNNNNNNNNNNNNNNNNNNNNNNNNNNNNNNNNNNNNNNNNNNNNNNNNNNNNNNNNNNNNNNNNNNNNNNNNNNNNNNNNNNNNNNNNNNNNNNNNNNNNNNNNNNNNNNNNNNNNNNNNNNNNNNNNNNNNNNNNNNNNNNNNNNNNNNNNNNNNNNNNNNNNNNNNNNNNNNNNNNNNNNNNNNNNNNNNNNNNNNNNNNNNNNNNNNNNNNNNNNNNNNNNNNNNNNNNNNNNNNNNNNNNNNNNNNNNNNNNNNNNNNNNNNNNNNNNNNNNNNNNNNNNNNNNNNNNNNNNNNNNNNNNNNNNNNNNNNNNNNNNNNNNNNNNNNNNNNNNNNNNNNNNNNNNNNNNNNNNNNNNNNNNNNNNNNNNNNNNNNNNNNNNNNNNNNNNNNNNNNNNNNNNNNNNNNNNNNNNNNNNNNNNNNNNNNNNNNNNNNNNNNNNNNNNNNNNNNNNNNNNNNNNNNNNNNNNNNNNNNNNNNNNNNNNNNNNNNNNNNNNNNNNNNNNNNNNNNNAAAUUUGAGAGGAUAUUUCCUCCAAAUUUUUUUGACAUCAUGCCUCACCUGAUGAUCCAUUUUCCCGAGCAAUUGUUGCUUACCGGUCCAGUACACUACACUUGGAUGUAUCCCAUGAAAAUGUACAUUUUUUACACCUGAAUUCCUCAAUAUAUAUACAUGUUCAAUAAUCAUAACAUUUUGCAACUUGAUUUACAGGCAACUUGGAGACUACAAAGAUUAUGUGGCUAAUAAAUCCACGCCUGCAGGAUGUAUAGUUGAAGCAUAUAUUGCGCACGAGUGCGUCACCUACAUGAAGUUGUAUUUAGGAGCGUUGAAGGAAACUCCGCAAACCAUGCCGGUAUAUGUACCGAAGUUCAAUCUUUCCAUAGUCUCCAGUGAUGUUGAAGUGUAUGGAAUUUUGCCAGACUCCUACAAGUUGCAACCACAUGAGCUAGUCAUUGCCCACUGGUGGAUAUUGAUUAACUGUCGAGAAGUUGAAUAUUGGAAAGACAUCCAUCUAUAUUGUCCAGACAUUCAAGGUGAUCUCGAGUACAGGAUUGACUGGCGAAAAUACGAAAUUUAGACGGUCCAACGACCUUUUCCGUGCAUUUAGAGGUUUGACUUACAGGAUUGACCGUCGGGAUCGAGCCCUCAACCUUGUCGGAUCAAGUGGAAUUUUUGCCCAUACAUGUAUUUUGUCAUGAUGGUCAGAUCUGACGGUCGGAUUUCCGUUUCUCAAGUUUGAUCAUCACAAUCACAACAUGCCUACUAAUGUUGUAUAACUUGUUUACCAAGUGUUAAGUAAAUAUUUCGUUUCAAAAACAAAUUAUACGUAAAACCUUCAAACGCAAAAAAGUCGUAAAAUAAGAUAUGACCAGAAUGGUGAAAUACGUCCACGGUUGAAAAAUCUCAGUAUUCCGGUAAAGUUUCGGUGCCGAUAGUUGCGGUCAAUGCAAUUUUUCAUUCUUUCUCCCUAUGAGUAGCUCUAUCUUCGGUGGUUAUUUUGCGUAAAAUUUUUAUAUUGUUGCGUCUUAUCGAUUUCAAACUAUUUUCAGUUGAAGGUCCAGCCAAAAUACGAAAUUUAGACAGUCCAACGAUCUUUUCCGUGCGUUUAGGGGUUUGACUUACGGGAUUGACCGUCGGGACCUUGUUGGAUCAAGUUGAAUUUUUGCCCAUACAUGUAUUUUGUCAUGAUGGUCAGAUCUGACGGUCGGAUUUCCGUUUCUCAAGUUUGAUCAUCACAAUCACAACAUGCCUACUAAUGUUGUAUAGCUUGUUUACCAAGUGUUAAGUAAAUGUUUCGUUUCAAAAACAAACUGUACGUAGAACCUUCAAACGUAAAAAAGUCGUGAAAUAAGAUAUGACCAGAAUGGUGAAAUAUGUCUACGGUUGAAAAAUCAUGGUAUUCCGGUAAAGUCUCUGUGCCGAUAGUUGCGGUCAAUGCAAUUUUCCAUUCUUUCUCCCUAUGGGUAGCCCUAUCUUCGGUGGUUAUUUUCCCCAAAAUUAUUAUACGACUUGUUGCGUUUUAUCGGUUUGAAACUAUCUUCAGUUGAAGGUCUGGCCAAAAUACGUAAUUUAGACGGUCACAAUCACAAUGUGCCGAAUGUAUAAAGUAUUUAAGCCGACGAAUUUCAAAGUUUAGCGGACGAAUUUCAAAGAUUUAGCCGACGAAUUUCAAAGUUUGGCCGACGAAGUAAAAAUUUCGUCGGCUAAAGUGGUACGGUAUACAGACGAACCCCAGCGCGAGAACAGCCUCCACCGCGCGAAUUCGAAACCCUAGCCUCUUCCGCCUCCUCGAGCCCUCUCUCGGUCGCCCUUUCCCUCUCCCUCUCCCUCCCUCCGGCCGCCCUCUCCCUCCUGUCGCCCUCUCCCUCUCCCGGUCUCCCUCUCCCUCUCCCUCCCUCCGGUCGCCCUCUCCCUCUCCUGCUCGCUCGGGCUCCGGCUCCCCCUGCUCCGCCUCCGCCUGCUCGUCACUCGCCAGGUGGUGUAAUUCUCUGAUUUUUAUUUCGAUAUGUGCGUUUAGGGUUUCAAAUUUAGGAAUUUAGGGUUUUUAUGCGCUAUUGAUAUUGUGGAUUGGUUUAUGAUAAAUAUAUUGGUUUAUGAUGAAUAUAUUGAGAAUUUUGGUGAUAAUCCAUCUAUUGAAUGUUAUUGGUGUGAAUGAUUGAGUUGGUGUUUUGACAAAAAUUUGCAUUAAUUUGAUAGGACCAAAUAAAAAAACUAUGAUCGACGCCGAUUGAUUUUGCAAGUUUUUAUAUAUUGGAUUAUGCAAGUUUUAAUAUAUGGUUUUGUUGGAAUAUUGUGGAUAUUUUCGACGCCUAUUGAUUUUGUGUAUGACAUAUAUGUGGUGUGUCGUUAUUAAGUUUCAUGAUUUUCUUUCUCAGCCUUGAUUCAAAUAAAUAUUUUAAACAGGAUGAGCGGUAAUUUUAGAUCGACGAAGGGUUCGAAGGGCCAAAGGUCCGAAUCGUCUGAGGGAACCUCUAGCAACCCUCAAACGUCGUUUCGGGGCCUCAUGACAGCCAGACGUGUGGCCCUUCUGGAGACGGCGCAGAGGCAGCCGGAGGUCCCCCGUCAUCGAGGCAGCCGCGUGUCCCUCAUUCCUCGAGGCAGUUGUGGCCUUAGACCCAGACGGAGGUGUCUGCACCCCGUAUGCCUGAGAUACACCAGGCGCCCACUCCGAGUCCUACUACUUCGGAUGGUGGGUCAUCUGGGGUACAGAUGCCGCCGCCGCCUCAUCUGUUCCUUCUGCGGAUGAUACCGGCAAUACCUGCAGUCGAUGGCUCAGGGGCGUCGAUUUAUCUACUGCCCCCGCCAGUGGCUUCAUCAGCGGCGUACCGAUUCGUGCCUUUUGAUACGCCUCUUAUUUCUACGAGGGUAUCAUCAUCGGCGACAGAGGCGGAAUCUGUCGCGUCCGCCGCAUCGCCCUCAGGUAAUGAAAGAUGAAUGAUUUGUUUUCUUAUAAUUCUCCGAUUUUAAUAAACAAUUUGGUUUAUCAUGUGGUAAGCACCGUCGGAGCGAAGCCGGCAAAGAAGAAGAGAGACCCUGUUACAGGGAAGGCUCUCGAGAAUAUGGUCGGUACUUGAGGGAGGAUCCUCAUCCGUACUGACGGGGAUGGCAACAUAGUAUCGGGCGGGAAGUCGAGGACGUACUCCGGCCGCGUGGGAGCCCUCAUUAGGGAUAGAGUCUAUCAGGACCCACCCCGAAUUUCACCCUGAAACCCGAAGUAAAUCCUGCGGGGACCACCUCCAAGGAAAGUUUACCGAAAAUUCGACAUAACCUCUCUUGAAAAUGGACAACCCUUCCGAAUAGUACCUGCAAACACUUCUGAAAAUCCAAAUCCAACCGUAAACUCCUAGAGCCUACGUGCUCCCCAAAUCACAACACCUCCCAAGUUAUUCACUAUUCUAAAUAUAAUCCCAAAUCAAACAAUUCAUUGGUUCAGAGCAACUCUAAAAGGAAUAAAAGAGACAGAAAAACAAAUAAGCGGAAGCUAUAAUACGAACUAUGCCUCGACUCCAAGUACGCCCGACCUCAACUAAGCUAACCUGCAAGCUGGGCAUUUUUAAAACGAAGGGCCCAGGGGAAAACAUUUGAAACCGUUAGAGUGAGUGGACAAGACAGAAUUCAAUAAAAAUAUUUAUGCAUUCGCAAUUAUUAUUUUCCAAAGAAAUUAUGCUGCAUGUAACAAGCUCAAAAACUCUCAACUCAUAAACUGACAAUAACACGACUAGCUCCGGCUAGUCUCCAAAGCUUUAUAAAAUAGAGCCUCUCAGGCUAAAAUAUAUGUAUGUAUUUACACACGUCCAUACUCCCUAUAUAAAUUCAUGGGUCUAUAUAGGGUUACUACGCUCGCGUCCAACGCUUACGUCACGCCUUAAUGCGGUGCUACACUACGCCAUUAAGGUGGACAGACGGGUGUAUAAAUAUGUGUCCAUACCCCCUAUAUGAAUUAAGCACUCAUAUAGGGCUACCUCACGUCCAACGCUCACGUCACACCAUAAUACGGCUAUAUGCUACGCCAUUAAGGUGGACAGACACAUAUGGCUAGCUAGCAUUUAUAUACAUACUCUCCUCAUCAAUAUAUAAUUAUAUUCACCGAAAAUCCCAUUUUCGGUAACUCUUCAAAAGAAAUAAAAUCGUCAAAAUAAAAUGACGUCAAAUGCUCCAACAAAAUAAAUUGCCCAAAAAUCAACCAUUGCAUGCAUAUUAUUUAAAACAAAAGUCCACUCACAGUAUCAGGCCUUAGCCUUCCAAUGCUCGUAAUACUCCUCGAGCUCUGCCCCCAACUAUUCACGCUCUCUAACCAAUCCAAUGUCUGGCGAUAAACAGAAGAAUAAAUUGGUCAGAUCGGACUCCAUAAUAAUCAUCGAUUCAACUUCUUCCUAGUUUGGCUAGGUUUCCUGGGUUGACCAGAAUUGACCAAGUUUGACCAAUUGAUUUAGGGUAGGCCAACUAAUGAAGUUUGGACAUUUCGAAAUUAACCUUUGACUUAACGAUCCGAGUCAAAUCAUCAAAAAUUCUACUAACCAUUACACACUUGGCGUCAUUUAAAUAAUUCAUGAAACACCAAUGCUCCCCAACUUUUACGCUUAAAAGAUCGUUUUGGCAACCUUUGGAAUCGAUUAACCAAACUAGUGUAAAUUCAAAGACUCAAAUAUACGGAACACAUUAAUCCGGAAAACCACUAAAUUACAAAGGGCACCCAAAAAGGGUUUCUAUAAAUAGAAAGUUUCUAGAAAAGGAAAGUUUCCUAAAUUAGAAACUUUCCAAAUAUGGCAAGUUUUCUAAACCGUAAACUACCACUCAACGAAAAGGAAAGUCGCCAAGCUACCUUCACGGGUUCUGCCGGACUUGCUGCCUCGGGAUUCCGGCGACUUGCCAGAAUUUCGCCAUAGCCUCCCCGUAACCUCCAAAUCACCAAGUUAUCGACAACAACAACCAAAACAUUCAUAUUAGCAACCAAACUCCAAUUUUCUCAAACCACAAUCAACACAGCAGCAACCCAAACAACUCUAUAUGCAAGAAGAUUACCUUCAGACGGCAACAAAACUUCUCUUGCCGGCGAUAGCUCUCUUGCCAGAUUCCGGGUUCGUGGUUCCUCCCACAGAGCAGCGGCAACACCUCAAGUCUUCACAACCGAUCGUCUUGGCCUGUUGCUGCUUAGAAGGACGUCAGGAAGGAGACAAGAGGUACUGAAGCCUUAUCAGCUCCAGCAAAACCUGAAACACUUGCCGGAAACCAUUAAAUGCUGGCCGCCGGAGCUAGGAGCUUGAAACUCAGAAAAGAGAAGGAAGGAGUUUCCAGAUUAGGGUCUGAAGCUCACAUUCAAGGACGUAGAAAGGAAGAGGAGAGUGAGAAGAACAAGAAUAUACCCUUCAAAGUCGUCGUCCCUGCCGGAGCUCGCCGGAAAUCGGCAACAACAGUGAAGCACCCAAGCUUUCGAUCUCCAUCGAUCUUGGUUGCACGCGUGAUCUACGAGCUGGGCUAGAAAGGAAAGGAGGAGAGGAAGAGAACGGCGGCGAUCUCGUCGCCUAGGGUGGCUGGACGGCGGCGCUCCGGCGUAGAGGCGACGGAGACGAAAGAGGGAGAGGGAGAGACUCGGUUAGGCUCGUUCAAACCCGACUUGGGUUCUUUGACUGGGUCUGACCAGUCUUCCUCUAUUUAACAUCUUCCUCUAAUUAACAACAGAAAUGGACAGCAGAUAAUCGAUGAUUAAAGAUCAACGACCCAUAUUCUUUGAUAAAUCAUAGAAAAUAGUCCGAAGCUCCUAAAAAUAAUCUGAGGACAUCAGAGAACUCGUGUCAACGCGCUCUACGACCUAGGAGCCUUAAAAGAAGAACUAAACAUUUUGAGAAAAACUCGACAAUAAACUGGAGUGUUAAAUUACUAAAUUACUGAGCACCGUUCAAUUCCUCAGUAACUCGUGGAAUACCUAGUAAAUAGGUAAAAUUGGGUUCGGGAUGUUACAGAGUCCCUAUGUUGUGGUCAGACUGGGGCGAGGUCCCGCAGGAGGUUAAGGAUAUGGUCCACAACGCGAUGUCGGUGAGUUUACAAAAUGCCUCAAUAAUAUUAUGUAUUACAUUGUUGAUUUUUCGAAAAACUAAACUAAUAAACGGUUAAAUGCAGGUGUGGUUUGAGGUUCCCGAGCACCUGAAGAGCAGCUGGGCGGACAUUGUGCAUGGGGGAAGGUACGUUGGGAAGUUAAUGAGAAAACAAAAUUGUAUGUGAUAUUAAUAAUAUUUCUAAUAUUUUUGUUGUAUCUGUAGGUACAAGCAGUGGAAGAACGAGUUGCGGACCCACUGUACUACACACAUGAACGCACGUUCUGGUACCCUGUUGAGUUCCAGUACAAGGAGUAUGAGUGGCGUUGGCUUCUGACAUCAGAAUUCAACAACCCUCGUAAACAUGUAUUUAAAAAAAUUAAUUAGUUAAUUUGUCAUUAAGUACGUGCGUUUUUAAAUAUUUUACUAAUAGUUUAGUUUUUUCUUUGAAUGCUGUUUCCCGGGCGAACGCUCAGAACCGGCAACGCAACACAAGGAACCAUCAUGCCAGUUCUAGACCGUUCGCUAUCUUCAUGGACGAGGCGGCCAGGGAACAUCCAGAAGUCAACCAGUACAUCUAUACAUACGAGAAGGGAUAUCUUGACGCCCAGGAGGAUAUUGUAAGUCAUCUUACGUUUUUUAAUUUUUAAUUUUUAAUUUUACUUAUAUAUAUGUCAAAAUGUUAAUUAAUAAUUUUUUCUUAUCCAAUUAGGCGAAGGUGAGGGAGGCUAGUGACGAGGUGAUGAGUGCUAUAGUGAGAGAGACAUGGCCGGACACGCAGGAGGAAGAGAUGUCCGAAGCCGUGUCCCAGAUCGACACUUCGGAUCUGACGAUUGGGGCGAGGAUCAUGGGCACAGCCUUCCCACCACGAGCAAACAACUUCUACUCUCGGGGUCUAGGAAAGAAGGGCGAGGGGGUCCUAAAGACCACUCCAAGAUUUCAACGAAAGGCAGCCUCGACCAGCAGCAAGACCACGACCAAGACCACCAGGACGACUCAGCUAGAGUCGGAACUUUAGAGACUACGGGAACAGCAAGCUGCUUAGGCUGCCUAUAAUGCCUCGCAGGUAGCCUAUAAUGCCGCGCAGGCAGCCUAUGUUGCCGAGAUACAUGCCAUCCAGCAGCAGCAGAUGUUCCAGUACAUGCAGGACUUUACAGCUGCCCAGCUUCAGGGACUUCCGGCUCCACCCAUGCCUACGGCUAUACCGCUACCCCAGCCGCCGCAACCUCCACAGCAACCUCCGCAGCAGCCCCCAGAAGUGGAUAUUAAUUUAGACGAUCUAGAUUUUGUGUAGUUGAUGAAUUAUAUAUUGUUUUAUGUGCUUAUUGUUGUUGAUUAUAUGGAAUUGUUUUGGUGUAUUUUGCAGCUUGCUUGGAAUAGUAAUUUAGAAAUUUCGGGUUUUUUUUAUUGGAAUGGACUUAUAGCCGACGAAAUACGCAAUAAUUCGUCGGCUAUAGUAUUUUAAAUUUUUUUAAAUAAGGUUUAGCCGACGAAUUAUGGCAUGUUUCGUCAGCUAAACCCUUCUAAAGCCGACGAAACAGACUAUAUUUCGUCGGCUUUAGUUAUUUUUUAAUUUUUAAUUGAACACUUUAGCUGACGAAAAAUUUAAGAUAUUCGUCGGCUAAAGUCUGAGAAAAACCGACGACAUGUUUUUCUUCGGCUAAACUCUGGGACUAUAGCCGACGAAUAUCUUAAAUGUUUCGUCGGCUAAAGUCUGGGAAAAAAACCGACGACAUGUUUUUCGUCGGCUAAACUCUGGGACUAUAGCCGACGACGCCUUCUAGUUUCGUCGGCUAAAGUCAUUGCCGACCACCUUUUUCCGACGAAAUCUUAGCCGACGAAAAAUCGUUGGCUAAGAUCUUAGCCGACGAAUUAAGCUAACAGGCCGACGAAACUUUUUCGUCGGCUAAAGUACUUGUCCUGGUAGUGAUUUGAUAAGCGAUAUGCUUAUAUUGACACUUUACUUUUAGGAUUUUGCUUUUAACAAAGUCUUUUAAGAUCCUCAUAAUAUACGAUGACAACUGCCGUAAGUCUUUCGUCAAUAAAUAUAUGUAACACUGUACUUACAGAAAAUUGUCACGUAUAAAGAAAGAUAUUCGUAAUCCCCAUGUGUCUUGUAGACAUUAUGCCAGAGUGAUUUAUUUUCACUGUGAUUAAUACUCUUUUGUAUCAUGUAGGGUUAAAGGUUUAAGUAUCUCAUCAUUUUUUAGAUAUUCAGUUUAAUUGGAAUUGCCUCUAUCCAAUUUUGUCCAAUAAUAUGAUUUGCCGACAUUCAUAAUGAAACGUGAUAUUGCAUCAUACAGUCCUUAAUGGUCUUUGGUAGCCACCAUAUGUAAAUUUCCAUUGAUGAUCAUCAUUUAUAGAUCUCAAACAUUCAUAUAUGCAUGCAUUAGCUACUAUGAGCUUAUUGAUAUUGGGUACCCAUGCCACUUCUGGGGCAAAUAUUGUCACUUCUACGACAAACAUCUCUCAUAGAUGAAUUAUAUCUAGCGAAUGUGGAUCUAUAUUCAUAAUAUCAUAAAACAUUAUAGGAUCUAUAUAAUCUUCCAUUUUCAGGAGCUUAAAACUUUAGACCUAGUAGUGGAUACAUUCCACUCAGAUUCACGCCGUUAUUUAAAUGACAGUAGUCUUUUCUCUCCCCUUAACGGCGAGAAUCGAACACUGUCUUAUCAUGACCAUGCUUAAAAAUACGUUUAAAUGUCUAUCACUUCCUUUCGAGUAAAGAUGUCCAUUGGCUGGUGGCGAACCCAAAUCAAGUGUAAGGUCAAAAAUAUUAAAUUCACGAGUAUCAACCAUAUUGAUGUAUUUUUGUAUGACCAAGAUAUCAUCAUCUGAUGGUGUACUUUUAACCUUUGUAUGUGUAAUAUUGUAUUAGAAAUUAGGACAUUUUUAAUGACAUUUUCGUCAGGAGAACCAUGUCACGUAGAUACACAUUCCUCCCACAAAUCAAAUGGGGUCAAGGUUGUUUUGUUAAUAUGGUGAGUCUCAUAGAUUUUAACCUGAACAAAUGUUUUUGUGCUAACAUAUAGUUUUGUCAUCACUAGCUUUAAUAAAUCACUAGCUGAGAUAUUUCUCAAUGCUCAAAAUGAGACAGUAGGUGAAAUAUCUUACAACAAUUCAUGUCGUUCUUCACGAAUAAUGUUUCUCCCCCUCAUAACAAGAGGAGUGUCUCAUUAAGGUGAUAAACCAAAACAUAUACGAGGCAAAUUAACAAUUUGCUCAAAAUAGCGUUAGUUAGCGGUCAUCAAGAGUUACUGAUUUUAAGUAACAUUUUAUGUAAAAUAUGACGUAACUAGUCAUGCCAAAAUAAUGUAUAUUCUGUUCAAUGAACUUUUGAUUCAUGACAUUAUGUGUCUCACUUUUCUGUAGGAUUUCACACGUAAUAGGCCGCAUAGCGAGAUACUGUGUGCUUUGGACCUCGUCUCAUAAUUUUGUUCUUGAGUUGCCAAACCAAAAUUAGUCUCACUAUGGGGAGGUAUGUUUGCAACAUCUGCUCCCCUCCUUCGGGUGAGGUAGGAUCUCACAUCACAGUAUGUGUUAUAUAAUCUGAGGACAUUCUGGGGGCGCGCACUUAAUGUAAAAAUGGGAUAGUAUGUACUCUUCUAAAGCCAUCAUUCAUAUAUAUAAUCGAAGCUUCAUGUCCGAUUAUAUAAUGGUAGAACUACAGGUUCUUAGAAUGUUAACUUCAAGUUAACUGUUGCUCGAAACUUCAGGCUCGAGUAACUCAAGUGAAACUUCAAAUUCACUUUUAAGUCAUUGAUAUUUUAUACUCAAAACUUCGGUUCGAGUUUCUGCUGUUAGAACCCUGGUAACUCUUAUGAAAAUUUUGAAAAAUAUUUCACUUGAAAAUUAUAUGUUUUGAGAUAUAGGAUUGUUAGCCCUUAUGAGUAACAAUAAAGUUUAGAAGAGGAAAAUAAUUAACAAACUCUAAAAUGGUAAGGAACAAGAAUAAAUAAAAUGUGACAAUGGAAACUUCUGGUUCCAUAAGAAGUACAAGAACUUCUAGUCUAGUUACCUUCACGAAUAUGAUAAUCUUGUUUCUCUCCUCUAAUUUCACAACAACAUUGUAUCAAAAUAAAUAGGAGCUUCAGGUCUUCAUAUAAUUAAGGAUGAUAAGAAAACCAUAUUGUAUAACUCUGAGAAGUUUCUGGUCCUUGUUGAUUUCAUAAGAGGGUCCAAUUACCCAUUUUCAUUGAGAACAAGCUUGACAAAAUUAUAUGUUUUGUCAACAAUGGAUGACCAUUGGAAUUUGUAUAAAAAUAUUCUACAUAUCAUUAUAGAUCUAGAGUGACUUAAACGGUCAUGCCAAAGCAUAAAUGUAUCGUUGUCCUUGAACUUCUGGUUCAUGACAUGACAUGUCUCAAUAGACUUAAUGGUUGUGUAAUAUAAACCAAAUAAUAGGUCAACCAACAUUUUCAAUACGCGGCUUUGGCUGAUAAUAUAUGACAUGACAUGUCUCAAUAGACUUAAUGGUUGUGUAAUAUAAACCAAAUAAUAGGCCAACCAACCUUUUCAAUACACUGCUUUGGCUGAUAAUAUAGGAAGUAAUGAAAACAUAUGCCACAUUCUUGUCGUUUGUGGUCCGAAAAUGAAAUCCAUUCAAACAAAUAUCCUUGAAACUUAGGAAAUUCCUGCUUGGUCUAGGAGAGUACAAAGACUCUUUAACGGGCAACUGAGUUCCAUUUGGAAGACUAAUGUGGGCUCUUCCGGAGCCUUCAACCAAAUUGGCAAUACCAUAUAUGGUGGUCGCAUUAGUUUAAGAAGGUACUUAGAUGGAGAAAAUUUCUGAUCACGAAGGAUUAUAUGUGUGGUGGCAUUGUCAGCAAGAUAAUUAUCUUCUCCAAUUUUAAAUUGAGUGUGUUCAUGAUCCAUGUUCAUACCUUCAUAAUAAAAUGAAAUAAAAUAUAAGCAACAAUAGAAUAUAUUACCGCAACAAAUGAAAUUAAACGUAAUAAUACGAUAACUAUCAUCAAUGAAUACCCGUCCAGAAAUUCAUAGAUUAACACUAGUCUAGGAAAAACAACUAUGUUGUACCGUUACUUUUCCGAUCAAAAUAGAGUGAGAUGAAGAAGAUAACUAAUUGACUCGUAAGGAUACGAUAAGCUCCGCUAAAAAAUUAGUGAAAAACAAACUUUAUAUGUACACUUUACCUGAUCGUCAGUUACUAGACCAAAAUCAACAAUGAGGAAAUUACUAGAUGCAAAGCAUGUUACGCGUUGGAAAGAGAAGAGGAUGCCCGGUCAUGACGGAAGAUAAAAUUUUGUUUUAUUAUCACAUAAUAAAAGUGAAAUUAAGAACCGUUAUUAAUAACAGUAACUUACACAAUAGUGAGAUAAUGGUGUUAGAAAUCAUGGUAAUAAAAAAAAAAAACUAUUGAUAACAACACCGAAUAAUAAAAAUGGUAAUAUGAAAAGUCAUUAAAAAAAUAACUGAUCACAUGAUGGUAGUAAACUGAGUUAAUUAUUUCAGUAACUCCCACAUUAAAUCAAUAACUCACACAUCAAUUCAAUAACUCCCACAUAAUGCAAGUAAAAGAAUAGUAAUAGUCUCAUUAACAUGGUUGCAACUUGCAACUAAUGUUCAUUACUACAACAAUAAUAGCAAUAAUCAAAUAUCAUCAUUUGUUGAUCACAUCAACAUGUUUCUCAUUGUCCACAAAUUGUCUAGAUGAAUCUCAAUGAGACUAAUUAGUACGUAUGAUUGAAUUUAGCUUUAUUGCCUUUGUUAAAGGGCUUCGUAGAGAGCCACUAAAUGUUAAGGCAUGCGUCAAAAAUGGUUACUAUAGCCACAGCUAUAGCCAUAUCAGGAUCCAUAUUAGAAGACGCAAAUAUGUCCAUUCAUGGCUCUUGGUAGAACAAUGGUUCUUAAUGUCGUAUAUUGAAUAUGUGUUCAAAAGUCCCAUAAAAUUAUCCAUAAAAAUGCAUAGAAUUACACCAUGAUAUUGCAAAACUCAUCCAAACAAAUGGGAAUAAGAACCAUAGAUUCUUUAUCUAAAUCAAUAAUAUAUAGACCACUUAUAAACUCAUAGAUCAUGGUUCAUGGUCUUAAGCAAUAAUCUUGCAUCAGAGACCACAUCAAUCAUGCAUCAUGGAUCCAAUUAUGUUGUUUAGAAUUUCAUGUUCAUAAGAAAAAAAAAUAUCAAUAUCGAAAUUUCAAGUUUGAAUCUUGUGAACAAUGGAUCACAUGUACAUGCAUAAAACUUUAGGUUUAUGCUUACACAAUUAGAUCUCCAAUUCUAAUGUAAUAUUGAACUUCAGGUUCACAAUCUCAAAAAUGAUUAUUAGCGAAACUUCAGGCUCACUAAUAUAAGCAAUUAUAAACAUAUAAUUGAGCAAUAUAAACAAAGUAUAUAUGUAGACAAGAUAUAAUCAAAAUAGAAGCGAACUCAUAGAUCGUGAGUAUGAAUAAUAAGCAACAAAAGUUGCAUCAAUAUCUCAUAGAUCAUCAUGGAGUUCAUAGAACGAAUGAGCGAAUUCGUGCUGAUAACGUGUUAUAAACUAAAGAAUAUGUAGAGAGAAAAAGAAGAACAACAUGUAGGAGGAGGAAGAAGUUUCACUUUCAUUCUCAUUAGGCUCCUUUAUAUAGGAGUAUGAUUUACAUCUUAAAGACAUAACUAAUGAGUAUUUACAAGGACAUCCGCAUAUAUUAUAAUAUUUACAACAUCUUUUUUAUAAUUGAUUUUGUAAGCUUUAUUUCUUGGAUUAAUUUCAGUUUAACCUCUAGGUUUAGGGUGAACAUCAUUUCAGUCCCCAUACUCUUAAUUUUGAAAAUUUACCCCUAAAGUUCUAAUUUUCAUAAAUCAAGCCUAAUUGCUAAAAUUCCGUCCAAUUUGGACGUUAAAUGCUAGCAUGAAAUCUUAGAAAAAUGGUCCUAAAAGGUGAUUUAUGUUGUUAUAUGACUAUUUAAUUUAGCCCUUAAAAUGAGUUAUGAAGUCAAAAUUAACGUCCAAAUUAGACGGAAUUUCAGCAAUUGGGCAUGUUUUAUGAAAAUGGGAAACUUUAAGGGGUAAAUUUUCAAAGAAUUGAAAUUUAUUUAGUACUUGUGGUUUGAAGUCGACAUUUGUUCAGUCAUUGUGGUUUUAUUUUAACCUGAAUGAUCCUUAAAGUCACGAUUUUUCAUUCAAAUAGUCAUUCCGUCAAUUUUUUUUGUUACAACACUGAUGUGACCUUAAAGACAUUGUAAUUUUUAACGGGCACGUCAACCAUUUAACUGAGAAAAUUGAUGGAAUGACUAUUUGGAUGAAAAAUCGUGGCUUUAAAGACCAUUUCAGAUUAAAAUAAAACUAUAAGAACUAAACAUAUGUUGACUUCAAACCACAAGAACUAUACAGUAUUUUACCCAUUUUCAAAAUUAAGAGUAUGUGGACUGAAAUGAUGUUAACCCAAACAGUAAGGGGGGGGGGGGGUUAAACUGAAUUUAAUUCUUCUUAGAAAUGCCAGAGUAGUUAAAGUUCAAUGAAUAAUAAUUAUGAAUAAUAAUUAUGGAUUAUAAUUAUGGAUUGAAAUAUUCUUCUUAGAAAUAUUCUUCUUUGAAAUAUUCUUCUUAGAAUAUUCUUCUUAGAAAUAUUCUUCUUAAAAUAAGCCUAGAGUAGUUAAAGUUCAAUGAAUAAUAAUUAUGGAUUGAAAUAUUCUUCUUAGAAAUGCCAGAGUUAAAAGUAUAAUUAAGAAUUAAAAAGUUUACCCAAUUGUAGUUUAGAGGUGAAUUCAUGUUAGUCCAUAAACUUUUAAUUUCAUCAGAUUACCCCCCGAGUUCUUGUUUUUCUAUCCGCCGUCUCCUAUCACUUAUGCUCCAUCCAAUUGGGACGUUGAAAUUUGAUGACAUGUGGUGACGUUUUGGGGGUUGAGAAGCUAAAUUACCAGAAAAACAAGAGCUCGGGGGAUAAUCUGAUGAAAUUGAAAGUUCAUGGACUAACAUGAAUUCACCUCUAAACCACAAUGGGAUAAACUGAAUUUAAUUCUACAUUUUUAAUUCCAGGGGGUAAACUGUUUCAAAUAAUUACAGUUAUAUACUGAGUCUUGAACUAAAUAGUGACAACUGUCAACUCAAUCAAGACUUCAAAAAAAGAAAAGCUAACAGAGACCCCCUUUUUUCUGCUCCUUUUGAAACGGAAACUAAACAUUUUUCCCAACAAAAAAAAAAAAGGAAACUAAACAUGUAAAAUACUCAUAGAACAAUUCAUACCUCAAAGCUGAAAAUCGUGUUGAAUAAGUUUUAGUACUUUUAUCGAGUUCCAUUUUCAUUUCUUCAUCGGCUCUCUGUUUCUUGUAUCUUUUUCAUUCUUUCACCUUAGACGAAAAACGAAUCAUUUCUAAACACACCGACUCCUCAAUGAAGAGAACUUACUGUUUUCGAAACCAAAAUGCAUGCCACAAGCUUGAGUGGUUCUGAAUAAUAGAGAAACAUAAAGAAGAUUUGUGCCUAAUUUCAGUUGAGAGCAGAACAUUAUCCGUUGUUGGGGUUUGUUGCCAAAUUUCAGGGCAUAUCCAAGUUUCUAGUAGAUUAGCAACAUGUCAUAUGCAUAACUUAAUUCGAGAUUUACGUAUCUUGAAAAGUUUUGGAGCCUGUUGUCGAUCGCGCCUAUACCUAGCUAGAAUGAUUGAGGUCAAGUGGCAUAUCCCCCCAUCAUUGGAUGGAAUAAGAUAAAUUCGGACGGUGCUUGGAAGCAUGAAGAGGGUAUUGGAGGAUUCAGUGUUGUUUUCUGCGACUAUAAAUUUCAGUUUGUUGGAGCUUUUACUUGUAAUAUUGAUAUUCCGAGUUCCAUUGCAGCAGAGGUGAUGACAGUUAUCACAAUUAUAACAUAGAGCUUGCUUGGGUUCGUGAUUGGAAGCACAUUUGGUUAGAUGUAGACUCUUCUACUGUACUUGAUUAUAUCUGCUCUCCUUCGCUUGUGCCUCGGCAACUUCGAGUUAGAUGGUUGAAUUGCCUGUACAGGAUCUCUAAAAAGACUUUUAAAUCUUCUCACAUAUUUAGAGAAGGGAAUAGGGUAGGAGAUGCUUUAGCUAAUCAUGGAACAUCUCUGUCGGAGCAAGUAUGGUGGGAUGUGCCUCGUCUAUUUAUCUUGAUGAGAGUGAUCUUUUGGGUCUUUCACAGUUUCGAUGCUGUUAAUUCGUUUGUUUUACUUCUAUCAGUAUUUGUUUUAGAGGUUAUUUGUAUUAUAUGACUGGCAUUUGCCUAGUUCUCCAGCUUCUUAUACUUUUUUUAUUUUAUCAAUAAAUUUUUGUGGAGAGACGAUGAGUUUGUCCCUCUACAUUUACCCAAGAAAAAAAACAGAAAGAAGAGAAAAUUAAAUGCGUAGUACUAGCUAGCACUCAAAACUAGUGCAGACAACAAAAAUGAUGUUAAACUAACGGCUACAUAUCAGACAGAAUGUGUGCCAUUAAUUGCGUAGUUGCAUAGAAUCUGCAAAACAAACUUCAAGAACACUUUCAUAGUUUCGAAUAACAAAAUCAUGCAUUUUCAUGCAUCUAUUCCAGAGGAAAUUGGCACUGGAAAAUGCGUACAGAUCAAAUUAACACAACAAAAGAUUAGAAUGAUACCAAGUGGAAAAUUGAGUACCUCAAAGGAUGAAUUAAUGACAAAAGAUUAAGAUGAUAUGAAGAAGUGGAAAAUUGGAUACCUCAUAGGACUCAUCAUCAGAUGAAAAAGGACCUUACAAAAUCAGAUGAAAAGGAGGAAUCAAUGACGAGGGAAACACACUGGUAAUAGAAACUUGUAGUUACCACUUGAUUAACUUUAGCUUUGUACCCGGAUGUAACACAAGACUGGAGAGAUCUAAACUUAUCGAGCAUAUCAACAUUUUUCAUCCGAACAGACAGGGGCGUAGGCACAACCUCUGACAUUUCAAACUAACUUUCUAUUGGCUGGGGCAACACAACAAGAAUAUAUAUUACACUUUGAAACAAGAUUUUACCCUUGGACAACACUUGAACAACUGUAGCCCUUGAUUAUCGUAUUUGCAGUAAUUGCCGGUAAGUCCUGGAACUUGCUGAUUUCUAUAGACCGUUGGGAAGAAUUUCUUCAGAAAAUCGGGCAUCGAUGUAACACCCCCUACAUCAAACAAGUUCAGAUUGAUUAAUACGUUAGUUUUUUCUAGCUAGCCCAUAGGCUAAUAGAUUGGGAGUGAGCCAAGCACAUACCUGAUAUACCAACAUCAUAGCCAAACAUGAGGCCACCGGAAGCGGCCAUUAAGCAAGAACUUACCACGAGCGGAGUGAUCUUUGCUUCGAAUUCUUUGCCUCCAUUUGCCGCUCCAUGCCAUCCCAUGGCUUCUGCUUGUUGCAAAAUCUAGGGUUAAGACCUCACGAAAGUUGAAAAGAUGAUCAAGAGUAAGAGAAUAGACUAGCUUGGUGAAUGGUGAUACGUACAUUGUGCAUGCUAGUCUAUUCUCUUAGAGACAAUUAACCUCAAGUUAACAGCUUCCGAGUCGGAAAUGGUGUCCGAGAGUUAACAGCUCUCGAAUUGGAAUUAGUAUCCGAGAGCGAGAGUUAAACAUCUUUCUCAUUGGAAUUGGUAUCCGAGAGUUAACAGCUUUCGAAUUGGGAUCACUGGUUAUGUUCUUGUUACUUGGUUAUUAGUCAAACAUGCAUGCGUAUAUUUGAUCCAUAGUUCAUAGUAAUAUAUUAGGGAAAAUGUCCAUUUGCACAAAAACACCAUAAUAAGAGCUCAUGCCAAUGAAAAUUGUUUCCAGCAGCCCAUUUAAACAAAUCUUAUGAAAUUGACUAUAUUGCCCUCGCAUCACUCAACCAUAACUCUCUCUUCGUCCCGAUCUGAAACAAACUCUCUCUCUCUCUCUCUCUCUCUCUCUCUCUCUCUCUCUAGCCGAGUUGCUCCACCAGAAACCCAAAACCGCCGACCAACGCCGGCGACCGACGACCCGCCUCGAUCUCCUCUUCCUUAUCUGGAUCCAGCCUCCUCAAACCCCUACCUCUCUCUCUCUCUUUCCAACUCCAGAUCGGAGCUCGACUUUCUCUCUCCCUCCCUCGUCUCCGCCGAUCCAUCCCCCGGCGCCUUGUCCUCCCUCCACAAGCUCACAGUUUGCUGCCCCGGCCUCCUCCACUCCGACGUCCUCUUCGACCACCAGUCUUCCUCCUCCUCCACCCAAAUCAUCCACCACCACCCGCUGUCACCAGAUUGCUCUUGGUCUCUCUAUGUAUUUCGACACAGUUUACGACACCUUUGAAGCCGCCACCAUCGUACCCUCUGAACCCCAAAGCGGCAGCAUUAGUAAUUUUUUUAACUAGGGGUAAGUAAAUAUUUUACUGGAGGUCAAUAAUUAGAAAAUUACUGGGGGUCAGUAAUUUUUCUUUUGGUUUUGUUUUGGUUGGGAAUUGUCUUCUUCUUCUAUUUUCUUUGUUUUUCUGUGUUUUGACAGAUUAUUGGGGUUAGUACAAAGGUCGAUAGAAAAUUACUGGGGAUUAGUAAUUUUUCCUUUGGUUUCGUUUUGGUUAGGAAUUGCCUUCUUCUUCUAUUUUCUUUGUUUUUGUGUGUUUUGACAGAUUACUGGGGUCAGUACAGAGGUCAAAUAGAAAAUUACUAGGGGUCAGUAAUUUUUCUUUUCGUUUCGUUUUGGUUGGUGUAGUCGGUUGUGCAUAAAACAACCUCCCAAGCCCGUAAACCAACAGACAUUCCACCACAACCGAGGCUGCCCCGAGGUUCCCGCCCAUAAAUCGGGUGGGCCGGGCCCUACCUCGGUGGCAGCAUUGGGCCGGGAACGGUUUCAGAAGGCAUAAGGGAGUUGGGUGUUUUAAGUAACAGCAAAGGCAGUUGUCCCACAUCGAUUUUCAAGUAAAGAGAACCCACUCUGGGCCAUAAAUAUGGCCCAGCCACCAGCUUGUCAGGUAUGAUUAACUACCCUUAGUAAUUACAUUGAACCACCAAAUACUGACUUAAGCUUCGAAGGAAGAAAGACCGGAAGCCCUCGGUCAUCCUUGUUAUUACAGGUCAACGAGAGGAUAGUCUAUCAUUCGACAAACACGCAAUCAGUUUCUGCAAUCUCAUCCGGGAUUGUACAAAAACAUUUGGCGCCAUCUGUAGGAAUCUUUACAAAAAGCCAGCGUGACUCGAUGGUUGAGUUAACUGAGCAGCAAGAGUAGGAGGCAGGACGGGGAGAGCAGAGGGAGGUAAUAUUAAGAAGGACCCCGGAGACAGAGGGGGGGAGUUCAAGAAUAAUGGGGAGAACCUCGCGGGAUGACACACCAGAGUAUGUGCUGCGAGAUCUCAAUCCCCAAGAGGUAGCGGAGAUGUUGGAAGAUAUGAGGGCCCAAAUCACUCGACUGGAGCAACAAAGUGUCAGGGACCGAACGGAAGCCACAGGGAGGGAGCGUAAGUUAGAGAGAGAUAACGCCACGCUCAUGAGUGCAUUAGCCCGAGCGGUUGAACAUCGAGAGGCGUUAGAUCGAGCCAGGGAGUCAGAUCGAGCGGCCACGUCUCAACAGACGAGCACUCCGGUUGGGACGAAUGGUAGGACAAUGCAUAUUGGGACGAACUUGUUCCCCGAUGAAAUGCGAGACGAGGGUCCGCCACCCUUGCCAGAGCCAAUCCCGGAAGUCAGAAGACCGGGAGAGAUAGAGGAAACCCUAAGAGCUAUCCGGGAUAGCGUGGCGAGUUUAGUUGACCGAAUCUCUGACGCCGAGAAAAGGGGGACCCGAAAUCCAACCCGCACGAGUUUCGAAGAAAGGGGGGACCGUUCACAAGAAUGAUCACCUGGACCGUCUGACCAAACACAGCCAAGCCAUUGAAACUUAGUUACAAUGGGGAUCGUGACCCCAUCUCUUCCUUGAUAGUUUCAAGUCUCACACGAAUGCUAAAGGAUACUCGGAUGCGAUAUACUACAAUAUGUUCUAGGAAACUUUAGCAGGGGAAGUGCUAAGUUGGUUCUACGAGCUCCCGUCGAACUCGGUCGAUUGCUUCCGGAAGCUGGCUAAUAGGUUAGUCAAUAGGUUUAUUUUACUGACGGACGGGCAGAACACCGGCCAGUUAUUUAAAGUAAAGCAAGAUAGGGGAGAGGGAUUGAAAGCUUUUGUGAACCGUUGGCAAGGUGCCACAACCAGAGUCAGGAGCUUUGACAAGAAGGUUGCAGAGGAGGCGUUCCUUCAAGGAUUGCUUCCUGGGAAGUUUCUGUGUGUAGUAAAAAUCGAUAGUCCGCAAGGCUACGACGAGCUUAUGGACAUGGUGAUCAGGCAUGCACAAACGGACCAUGAUACUUAUGGGGGGACCUCGGCUGGGAAAAAGAAGGUCGAAGGGAGAGACGGGCGAGUCCCUGGUGCAAGCAAUCCAGGAGGUCGGAGCCUAGAAGGGAGAACGAGAGCUGGACACGUACUCAAUAGGAAAAAGGCACAAGGAAAGGAGGAGGGGAAAGGCAUGGAUGCAGUAUAACGCGCAAGGGAAGGCGAAAGGACCCUACCAGGAUACCGGGAACGCGAGGGCGGCGCCAACCGCCAAGGAGCAUUUCUCAGCGCUCAACGCCACUUACAAGGCGAUAUGGAACGAGAAUAAAUCUGUCAUUCCGCCUCCCCUGGCCCGGAAGUUUCCCGCAUCUCGUCUCACCAAGGAAGACACUGAAAAAUUUUGUGGGUAUCACGGGGAAGUAAGCCAUAACAUUAACAGCUGUAGAGAGACGGGUGAAGGAAGGAAAACUGCAGCAGUAUGUGCCUGGGCCAAGGCACGUAGGGGCCAUUGAGGUAUAUGGGACGAUCAACACCAUCCAUGGCGGGUCCUGUAUAGAUGACAGGAGCAACAAGGCAAAAAAGCAAUGUACGGGAAAGAAGGAUGGCUGGGAAAUCUUCGCCUUUGGAAGUAGCAAUAACCAGCAGGUACCCACCGGUUAGAGGUCUGUUACCUUCUUAGAAGAGGAAGAUGAGGGAAUAAGGCAGCACGAGGAUACGUUCCUAAUAACAUUGCAGCUCGAUCACUAUAUCACGAAGAAGAUCCUCGUUGAUAUAGGAGCCUCAGUCAACGUGUUAUUCAGGAAUGCCUGGAAAUGACUGCAUUGAGGAAGUAACAAGUUGAUGCAAGACCAUGAGCCGUUGAUCAGCUUCUCGGGCGAUGUUGUUUAGCCCCUCAGUUCAGACAGCUUUGGAGUAAGCAUGGAAGGCCGAGAGGGCGUUGCCCGAGCGAUAAUAGAAUUUAUCGUUGUGGAUUGUAAGUCGUCCUACAACGGGAUCUUGGGAAGGCCGGUAUUGUGGAAACUAAAGUCGUUUGUUGCUAGUCACAUGUUGAUGAUGAAGCUCCCAACCCCAACGGGAAUCAUUACGAUCCAGGGAGAUCAAGGGGCGUCAAGGAGUUGUUGUGCGAUAGACAACGGGAGGAAAAUGUCAGAGGUUCUAUCGGCCAGUCAGGCCGCAACAUCCCCCUUGGAUCCUUACAUAGAUCCCAAAGAUGAUACCGACUCGGAUGAGGAGCGUCCGGGACCAGCGGAGGAAACAGAAGUGGUGUCAGUUUCAGAUGAGUUCCCGGAUCGGCAGGUGACCAUCGGGUCGGGGCAGGCACCCGGUGUGCGAACGGCCCUUGUAGACUUCUUGAAGAGAAACAGUGGAGCAUUCACUUGAACGUAUAAGGAGAUGCCCAGGAUAUCAAGUGGAAUAGUAACACACCAGCUUGGAAUCCAGAAAGGAUUCCCUCUCGUGCGGCAAAAGCGAAGAACGUUUAAACCGGAGAAGUAUGAAGCAAUGAGGGGGGAAGUGCAAAAAUUGAUGGACAUCAGGUUCAUAAGGGAGGUUAGAUACCCCCAGUGGCAAGCCAAUGUGGUCAUGGCUCCAAAAAAGUCAACAAGACAAUGGAGGAUGUGCGUCGACUAUUCAAAUCUCAACAGGGCGUGCCCAAAUGAUAGCUUCCCGCUCCCACGCAUAGACCAGUUGGUGGACUCAACGUCCGGAUUUUAAUUGUUGAGCUUCAUGGAUGAGGAGCACACGACCUUCACGAUUGACAAGGGCCUAUAUUGCUAUAAAGUAAUGGUUUUCGGACUGAAGAACGCGGGAGUCACCUACCAGCAGCUGAUGAAUGUCAUGUUCGCCGAGUACCUCGGGAAGAUUAUGGAGGUAUAUGUCGAUAACAUGCUGGUCAAAAGUAUAAUGGUCGAGGAGCAUGUGGGGCAUCUGGAGAAAGUCUUCAAGGUCAACUGAGGUACGAGAUGAGGUUGAACCCUUAAAAGUGCAUAUUCGAAGUGAUCAAAGGGAAGUUCCUGGGACAUGUAAUUAGCAGGAGGGGGAUAGAAGCCAACCCGAAAAAGAUUCAAGCCAUUUUGGACAUGGAAAGACCCAAGGAAAGGAAUGAAGUGAGUUCGUUGGCCGGGAAGAUCGUCGCCCUUGCCAGAUUCGUGUCACUACUCACAGAUAAGUGUGCCCCUUUCUUUCGGCUGUUGAAAGAGCAGUGGUGUAAGGAGAUAAUGUGGGGAACCGAGCAGGAAGAGGCAUUCAAACAGAUAAAGGCAUACCUCACAUCCGCGCUGGUUUUGUCAAAACCGAUCCCGAGCGAGAUGCUUUUCUUAUACAUUGCGGCAUCGCAGUUAGCGGUCAGCUCAGUGCUCAUAAGAAAGGAGUCCGACAUCGAGCAUGCAGUGUUCUACACCGGGAAAGGAUUCAUACCGCCCGAGAGCAGGUACCCGGACGUCGAGAAAUUAGCCUUGACACUUAUCGUAACCUCUAGAAGGCUCAGACACUAUUUCCAAGCACACUCGAUAACCCUUUAUACCAACCACCUCCAGAGGCAGAUCAUGCAAAAACCAGAGAUCAGUGGGAGGCUAGUAAAAUGGGCCAUUGAGUUGGGAGAAUUUGAUAUCCAUUACCGGCCAAGAGUGGCUAUCAAAGGCCAAGCAGCGGUCGACUUUAUAUUCGAGCUCACGCCCAUGAAAGUAAUGGGGCAAUCAGCCGAGUUCACGCCCAUGGAAGUGGUGGGAGAAUCGUCCAAGGUCAAACGGGAGGAAAGUGAUCCUGGGCCGGCCGUGAAGGCACACAUUGAGGAGCCACCGACGCCACUUUGGAAGCUUUUUAUUGAUGGCUCGGUGACGAGAAAUGAAAGCGGGGCGGGAAUAAUAUUGGAGACCCCCGAUGGAUUUAAACACAAGUACGCCCUGGAAUUUCAGUUCAAGACAUCAAACAAUGCGGCAGAGUACGAAGCCUUAAUUGGGGGAUUGCAACUCACCCGAGACAUCGGUGUGGAGAGAGUGGAAGUGUUUAGUGAUUCACAGUUGGUUGUAAAUCAAGUCAAUGGGAGCUUUGAAGCUAAAGAGCCUCAGUUACACUCUUACCAAGCGCUAUCAAAAGCCUUCAUGCUGCGUUUCAAGUCGGCCUCUCUCUCUCACAUGCCCCGUAAGGAAAACAGUAAUGCAGAUGCCCUCGCCCGGCUAGCCACCGGAGAGCUUGGGAAAGGCAGAAAGAAGGCAAGGAUUGAGGUGCUAGGAAAACCGAGUAUCAGUAAAACAAUCUCGGAGAUAUUCAUGAUCGAGGCGGGACUCGGAGAGCCUACGUGGAUGGACCCCAUAAUCGUGUUCAUGAAGGAGGGGGUGCGCCCGGAGGACAGGCAGCAAACACGAAAAUUACAAUCGAGAUGUGCAAGGUACACACUCAUGGGCGGGAAGCUAUACUGCUGAGAUUACAGUUUCCCAAACCUCAAGUGUGUGAUAGAGGAGGAAGGAGAAGUGAUCACGGGAGAAAUCCAUGAAUGGGUGUGUGGGAAUCACUCUGGAUCCCGGUCAUUUACGCAUAAGGCACUCCGCACAGGGUUCUUCUGGCCCAACAUGGGCGCCAUGGCAAAUAAGAUGUCGGCGAGAUGCCGUAAAUGCCAUUUGCACGCUAACGGGAUACAUUCCCCUUCUAUUGCUCUAUCAAUAUUAUUGUCACCCUGGCCUUUUGCACAGUGGGGCCUUGAUCUCAUUGGGAUACUGCUAACGGCGCCCGGGCAGUUCAAGUACGUAAUAGUGGCCAUUGACUACUACACGAAGUGGGUGGAGGCAGAGCCCUUAAGGAAGAUAACCACCUAGUGCGUAAAGAAUUUCCUGAUGAAGAAUAUAUAUUACAAAAUCGGGGUCCCGAAGACAAUAGUCACGGACAAUGGAACACAAUUUAACAACAACCAUCUGAUCGAGUUCACGAAAGACAUGGGCACUAAGAUGGUUUUCGCGUCGGUGGCACACCCACAAACUAAUGGUCAGGUGGAGGCAGUUAACAAAAUCAUUAAGAAGCUUAUGAAGAAGAAGUUAGACGACGCAAAGGGUAUGUGGGCACAGAAGUUGCCAGAGGUAUUAUGGGCAAUCAAGACCACGACAACUGAAGCAACGGGAGAGACGCCGCAUGGCUUUUGGCAGAGAGGCUGUCUUGCCAGUCGAAACGUUGAUACCAUCGAGAAGGGUCGAGAACUUCGAUGCCACCACCAACGAGGAAGGCCUCUGGUUGAAUAUUGAUCUUAUUGAGGAAAGGAGGGAGAGAGCAGACUUGCACAACCAAGUCUAUAAGCAGCGAGUUGCAUGCCAUUACAAUAGUAAAGUCAUGACCCGGACGUUGGGAUAAGGGGACUGGGUAAUAAAGAAAAUCAUGACCAAGACGGCGGCCCUGGACCCAACUUGGGAAGGACCGUACGAGAUCAUUGAGGAGGUCGGCCCAGCAACUUUUUUUCUCCAAGAUCAGGAUGGGAUAGUCACCGGGCACUCGUGGAAUACGAAGCCCCUGAAAUUCUACCCAGUCUGAAGGGGGACGAGACCCAUUUUACAUUUUUGUAAAAUGUAUAUUUGUAAGUGUUGUUGCUCCCUCCAAGAGAACAACAAGUCCCGAAGGAUGCCUCCAUUCGUUUCGAAAGAUUUAAUACAAGAAUGGGAAGUUGAAUUCAAAUUCUAAUGAUAGGUAAUCCCCCGAGGGGCAUAAGUUAUUGAACUUCCCAGUAACCCUGAGCGGGAUAGGCACAAUACAAAUUAUAUAACACAAGAAGCAAGCAAUAAAAUGGGAUAACGCAUAAUAUAUUAAAACCCAAGACGUCGAGCGUAUACAACCAAUGGGUAUUAUAAGGCAUGAGGCCAUUGUCUUUCAAAAAAAAAAAAAAGGAAAAACGGCAAAUGACAACUUAUGCCUCGCCAGGGUCCUCUUCCUCAUUCCCGGACGCCUCGGCCAAUUUGUCGUUACCGUCAACGCCCUUCUCAGCAACCUUCUCGGACAGCUCGCCUGCCUCAGGCUCUUUCUCAACAACUGCCUUGGACUUGGCCUUCCUCUCCUUGGCCUCCCGGGCAGCGAGCAAAUCGGCAGUCAUCUUGGCCUUGUCUAGAUACUCAAGGCGGCUCCAGACGCCGAACUUCUCGGUGAUGCCACUCUCCCGGGCAGCCUUGAGCAUAACCUUCAGCUCAUCCGACUCCUUGAAUUUGGCUACAGUAAGCUCGCCCUGGGCGGGAAUCUGGCCUUGUAGAUUUUGCAGAUUAGCAAUCUAGUCGUCCCUUUCCUUCAGUUUAUCCCGUAGCUUUGCAUUCUCCCGUUGAAGCGCGUCUAUAUCACACUCCAAAGUAGCCACCCGUUCAGCUUUUCUCUCCAAAUCCUUGGUAUGAAGGCUGAGUUUGGCAAACUUGUCAGCCAACGAGAACUUCUCCUUCUUCUCGGCCUCCAAGUUUUUCUCCAUCUUCUUCUACUUGGCCCGGAGGUAGCUAAUCUGGUCGUUAAGGCUAGGUAAGCGCUCCUUGAUCCUGUUGGAGUCCUCGCUGACAUCAAUGGCAUAGACGGCAAAAAGAGCCUGCAAGAGUAAAAUAAGUUAAGUACAGCGUCCCGGAUAGUAUGUUGGCGUAAAACAGGAGAAGCCUACCUUCAUCAUCGCCUCCCAGGAGUAUUGCCGGUUCUGCUGAGGAGUGUUGGACCCGAACUUGAUACGAUCCAACUCCACGCCCUUCAGAUCGCCCACCAUGAUGCGGACGAACUUUUCAUCAGCGCACCUGUACUCAUCCAGUAUCUGUCGGAUAGGAGUCUUUUUUUUCUUGGGAAGAGCAGGAGCGAGAGUGCUCAAGGACACCAAGUUACCGGCCGAGGAGCCUGCCAACUUCUGCUUCUUCAGGGGCGGGGAAACUCCAGACACACUCACGCCAGUCAAAGUCACAGCGUCGUCUCUCAGAGACCUCGACUUCUUGGACAGCUGCUUCUUCCUCUUUUUGCCUAAGUUGACGUUGACAACAUUCCCGGUCCUCCCGGGGGCCUCUAUGUUAGAAGAUGGCCUCCCAUACACUUCAUCGGGAAUCUCCAGGAGCACCGGGUCCUCCGAGAGGAGGACGGCAGAGUCCUCGACGUUCACUUCGGUGCGAGCGGCAACUUUCCCCACCUCUAGUAGGUCACUCAGCAAGUCUAUACCAGAAUCCAUGUCGCGCGGGUGUGAGGGACGGUGUUUUCGCCUAGGCACUUUAGCUAAAAGUAAAGUCAACAGUCAAGAUCUUAGGAACCAAGAGUAACAAAAAGCCAAAGCAAUGAGAGAAUAGGAAACGAGCGAAACUAAUUUGGAACCCCACCAGGCAUACGGCCGAGUUCACAGUGAACUAAGACAGCCCAUCGGGUCAGGUUGUACAAGCUUCAAUCCUCGUCCGAGGCCCAGGCUGCAAAUAUCCACCCAAUGCGUCGCUUCUCGAUCUCUAACAGCGAGAAGGAUUGAUCCCGGAUAUAUCUAAACCGGUUGGGCACAACGUAUGUUGGAUAGUUUCUUUGCCAUCGACCACCGGUAAACACGACCUUUGAACGCCAAUUGUUAUUCAUAAAUGUUGGGAGAUCGGUAACGGGAGGCAAGUAGUCCCGAGCGGCAAAUGAAACACACCCGCCAUAGUUCUGUUUUUUCGAGUACGAGUGGCGGUAGAGGGCUCGGAACUCGUUAAUAGUAGGAAAUCUCAUAGGACAAGUAAUACAUUCAGCAAAGGGACAACAACUGACGCCAUUGAUUGGGGAGAAUCUGCCCGGGAGCUAGCUGAAGCAUGCUCAGCUGGCACUGUACGCACUAAGGGAACGGGAGAGAGAAACCGUUCCUAAACAUGUGUUCUGCACGGCAACGAAACCGUCUCUCGGACAGCAUGCCAACUCGCCCUCGUAAAGGCCGCGAAGUGUAAUCGUUGGAGGGAUACCCCAGUUUUCACGGAAUUGUUCUAUCUCGGCCGGGGUCAUGCUGCUCUCUGGCUCGUCGCACACAUUGCCAUCCUCCAAGAUAUAUCGUCUAGCCGAGUUAAUGACGUUGGUCAUCGGGACACCGUGAAAAACUCCGUCUGACCAAUUCACUUCCCGGGCGGGUAUGCCAUGUGGUAACUCAUGCGUAGUCGAAGACGAUUCACCCGGGCGGGACAAUCGACUAAUGUACUCCUCCAUCCUCUCGUCGUCAUCCACAAUCGGUCGAGAGGAUGUUCUAGCCCCACUUAAGUCGGUUGUACUUCAGGAAUCCAUCUGCCCUAGUAUAACAAACCCUAAGAUCUAUUAGUAUGCGCCACCGGGAGCAAGCGCAAAAUUCACAACUUAACACAGCCUAAACUCAGAAAGCCCUAGAAUCCCAAAAUCCCCAGUUUUUACCCAACCAUUGCAAAAGCAACACAACGCAGAGAAGAAAAACAGAGGUACAAGCAGAGGCCCACGCUAAAGUGCAGCAGAACGAAGGAAAAGCAUAGCGCAAAAACUUUACCAGAUUUUCGACGCAGUAGCAACGCCGGAAACUCAGAGGUCCGGAAACACCUCGCAAUCGUAGGGACCGACAGCGUCACAGCGACAGGACGCGGUGUCACAUCCCGACCCUUAAAUUUUUACCUUAUUUACUAGCUUGAUUAUAAUAAGAAUUUCACCGUCUCCGUCAAUGAAGUUAUAGUGUAAUUGAUCCCUAGAGGGGUUUUAAGGGACGAUUAUUUCGGAGGAUUUAUUAGUAGGAGAAAAAAGUGACGACGGUAAAAAUGGUAAUUUUAGCUAGUAAAAGGUAAUUUUUAUUGGGGUAUUUAUUUUGUGGUGUUAUUUUGAUGUUGGGUUUAAAUGAUUUGGGAUGGUGGAACCGGUUGGAAAACCCAACCCAUUUUCUUUUCUCCCUCUCCCGGACUCUCUCCCUCUCCCCCGAGCUGUCCCCGACCCGUCCCCGACCCGCCGGCUUGCAGCAGCUCUGUCCGCCGCCGUUCGGCCGCCAGGGACCACCGGACCACCCCUGUUCGGACCCCCGCCACCUCCUCUCCCUCCCCGGUCUAGGGCCUGAGCCUGUAACCUGCCGGAGAGGAGGAAAACCCGCCGGGAAGCUUUUCGCCGGAAACCCCACCUCCGGCCGCCAUAGGUCAGAAUCUUUGGCUCAUCUUGUAGCCCUCAUCAAGGUAAGUAUUCGCUCAAAAGGAAUUAGUCUAAUUCGUUGUUGUUAUGGAGAAAUGUAUAAUUGAAGUUUUUAGGGAUUUAUGGAAGUUUUGGUUCGAUUACCCUAGUUAGCCUUAGAAAUGGACUUUGUGUUAGUUAAGGAAGUUGUUGUGUGUGUUGAGAGGAGUGUUGUGCUAAAUUUUGAGAAGCAUUGGGGUUCGCCGGAAUCCGGCUGCCGGCCGCCGCCGCCGGCGGGGCAGUGAUAAGACGUAUUUGCACACGCAUCAAUUAACCCUGUCAACAAAUCAAUCGUAGUAUAAAGCAAGCAGGGAUCGUUCUAAACCGGGGAUCCAACUACAAGGUAGAUCCAUCUAAUCUAAUGUAAGUAUCGAAAUAAGCAUAUAGGUUUAAAGGUUUUAUGAUUUCGGAACAAUAUUAAUAAUAAAUCCUAAAUUACUUCUAUACAUAUAUACAUGUGAUCAACCAACAUUCAUGCAAACUCAACCAAACAACCAUGCAAGAAUAAAGAAGACGAUUUCUAAUCUCAUUUAAGUCUACACCGUGAGCAAAUAUACAACCUAAAUUUGAUAUGCGCAUAAGUUCCUACGUGGUUCCUAUGACAUAGACCAACUUAGAAUUAGACUACGGGUUUCAUUCAACAUCGCGACACAACAAGCUCGGCUACAUGCUCUACUUAUUGGUCACACACAUAAACUAAUCAUGCAAUUACGUAUCACAUAAAGAAUUUGAUGUGUUUAAGCACAAGUCCAAAUCAAACAUAGGUAGAAAAUCGGUGAAAAACAAAGACAACGCAACUUAUCAACUACGUGUAUCAAAGUCGAACUUUGGAUGAUUAACACAUGCAAUAUCAACUACUUGUAUCAACUACACAUGAUAAUGGAAUAUAGCACCGAAAAUCUUAAAGUAUUUAGACAUAAAACUCACGGCAUAAAACCUCAAAUCAUUGAUUAUAAAUUGUAAACUUUAAUUCAUAACAUGGCUCAAAAAUACUUCUAUCUCAUAGACAAGAAUCGAAACAUACUUAAGCAAAUACCUAAAGCAAACAAAAACAAGAACAAACACAUAGCAAUCCGAAAAUAGAAGAUGAAAUACACUCUCAAAAUAUCCCUACUUGUUCUAUUCUUCGAGUGCGCGGAGUCCUAGGCUACGUGCUUUGGACGAAUGCUGAAGGUGGGAUCGGAUUGUGGUGUUUGGAGGUUGAUGGAGUUUCGGCAAAGGCUUUGGUGUUAUUUGCACGGGUUGAUGAUGAUCUUCUGUCCUUGAAGUCGUGCUUUAUAUAGAGGAAAAACCCUAGAGAAGUCGGCCACAAAGCCUAAACCAAAUUGGUUUAGGAUUCCUAGUUUUUCUCCCUUUCGGCAGAAUGACCUCCGUCUGAUGAUUGCGUCAUAACUCCCUCUAGAAAAUAGAUAUUGAGGUGAUUCCAAUUGAUUUGGAAACUAGACUCCUGUAGCAUUCUAUCCAUAUCUGGCACGUUUUCUGAUUCAUUGUGAGCUGUCCUGGAGAGUCUGUUGAAGUUGACAGACGUGCACAGGAAUUCUCCCGAUUUAAUCCGGAUUUUCAAGGGCUUGGAUAUUCUUGAAAUUCUGCCGAAUUUAGAUCUUCUUCUCCAUAUUGGACUUGGUUUGGACCUCUCCUUCAUGGACUAGGCUUCGAGGAAAGAUGGAAUCUUGAUCAAGACAGGAAUCCUGAGUAAACAAGGGUUUCCAACACUCAGCACAAUUUCAACACCAAAUUAUUCAAAUUCGAAAAUACUAUGUAUUCUAAUACUAAAAACUACAUAUUUCUAAAUUAAGCAAUUAUUCUACACUAAACACAAAUAUAAAGCUAAAACAACUAAAUAGGAGUUAACAAAGGGUAAAUAAAGGGUAUAAACAUAUUAAGAACGUCACACUUUGUGCUCCUAUCAGGCAGCCGGCGUUGCCGCCCCUUAGGGGCAGUUUUUUUCAUGUUUUUGGGUUUAUUUUCAUGAGAGAAGUUUAAUGAAGUAUAAUUUGGAAUUUUUGGACGAGUUUUGAUAAGGUUUGGGAUUUUUCAUUGGUUAAGGUUUGUGGUGGUUGUUAAAUUGGAAUUUCGGCAGUUGGUUUAGCAGGUUUAAAGUCUAAAAAAGUUAAAUUAUGGUUUUCGGUAAGUGCGGAGUGAUGUGAGUCUUGCUAGAUUAAAAAUGGAGAAGUUGGGCAAGAGAGAUGAAAUUAUAGGCUCCAUUUUAUUUCAGAAAUUUUAUAAAAGUUUUAUCCUAGUUUGGAGGCUUAAUAAUUAUUUGGAACAGGACAUGAGGAGGCUCGAAUUGGAGAGACCUCGGAUUGACGUCAGGCUUAGGCCUAAAGUUGUGAGUGGAUGUUCGUUUUAAAUUAUAAGCAUGCGGUGAUUUCAUUUUAAAUGAAUGAUUUUAUUGAAUAUCAAUUUGUGGAAUUGUUUAUUUUCGCGAAGUUAUUUUUGGAAGUAAAUGCUCUUAUUUUAUUUUGUUAACUUCGCUAUUUGGAAAGUUACCGGAAAUGAGAUUUUCGGUGUAGCCAUAUAUUUAUUGCUUCUUUUGCAAUUGGCGAUUUUUAUUAUUUUUGAAGAGUUACCGAAAAUGAGAUUUUCGGUGAGUAUGUAUAUAUAUAUCCAUAUUUGGAUGAUUAUGAGAAUAAUAUGUAUAUGAAGGAAUGCUAGCUAGCUAUACGUGCUUUUCCACCAUACUGAGGUAAAAAUUCUAUUAUGGUGCGACGUGAGCGUUAGACGGAAGCGUCGUAGCCUUGUGUGAAUUUUCUAUUUGUCUUGGUUGUUUCAAGAAAAUUCAUACAAGGGAUAUGACGAGUGUAAUACAUACAUAUUUUAUUUUAGCCUGAGAGGCUGUAUAUUUUUGAGCUUUGGAGACUGGCCGGAGCUAGUCAUGAAAUUGCCAGUUUUUGUGUUGAGCGUUUUUGAGCUGUCGCAUGCAUCAUAUUUUCUAUGGAAAUGUAAUUGGGAAAGCAUAAAUAUUUUCAUUAAAUUUAUGUUUUUGUCCACUCACUCUAACGUGUUUCAAAUGUUUUCCCCUGGGCCCUUCGUUUUAAAAAUGCCCAGCUUGCAGGUUAGCUUAGUUGAGGUCGGGCGUACCUGGAGAUGUGGCAUAGUCAUCAUAUAGCUUCCGCUUGUUAAUUUAUUUUGUUUCCUUUCUUCCUGUUAGAGUUGCUCUGAACCUAUAAAUGGUUGGAUAUGAGAUUUGUUUAGAUUAGUAAAUUUUGGGUGGUGUUGUGAUUUAGGGAGCACGAAGGCUCCAGGAGUAGAGGAUUAUAAAUGGAUUCUUUUGAAGUGUAUGCAGGUAUUAUUAGGAAGGGUUGUCCAUUUUCAAAGGAGGUUAUGCCGAAUUUUUCGUUAAACUUUCCUUGGAGGUGGUCCCCGCAGGAUUUACUUCGGGUUUCAAGGUGAAAUUCGGGGUGGGUCUUGACACGUGGAGCAGGCAGAGAACCGAAAGAAGGCAGUAGAGAAACCAGAGAAAGCAAACAGAACGCAGAGAGAGGGAAAAACAGAGAGCGACCAAACUGAGAAUGGAGUGAGAAUGAGUGAAGACAAAAAAGGGGGGAAGAGUUUAUACAGAGGCAGAGAGCAGUCACCUCGGUCCACGAACCGACGCAUUAAAAAACCAGUAAACAAAAAUGAGGCCCCCCUAGCCAUUCGGUCAAACCGUAGGAUGGUGCCACGUGGCUUAACCGCCGUAGCUUCUUGAAGAAGGAAAGAACGAAGUGAUGUGCAUUAAUUGUUUGGCAGUUAUCCCUAAGAAUAUCACGACAUCUAACGAACAUGCAUUUAAUGCACCUGCCACAGCAAUGCACAAACUUCAAAAGGAAAGACCCAUCUCGGGUGAGAGUCACCAAGAUCGUAAGACCCAAUAUAAGACCCAUCUCGGAUGAGUCACCGAGAUCGUACCACCCAAUAUAAGACUCAUCUCGGGUGAGACCCACCGAGAUCGUAAGAUCUAAUAUAAGACCCAUCUCGGGUGCGAGUCACCGAGAUCGUAAGAAUCAGUGCCAGACUUAUCUCGGGUGAGAGUCACCGAGAUCAUCAUACCAAGUAAAAGACCCAUCUCGGCUGUGUGUUACCAAGAUAUAUUCAUUCGACCGAAAGGCAUAAGUUCAAAAGGCAUAAGUUCAAUAUCAUCCGUUUAAAAACGGAGAAAGUGGCUUGAUAAACCACGUAUGGCAUUAACACCCCGUCACUCGAGUAGUAACAUAGGAUAUGGAAAGGGCUCGCUACCUUUGCCCAUGAAAAUGUAACACCCGUUCAACCCACAUCAUGAGUCCGGACUUAGGGGGACUAUGGGCGGGACCCACUUGAAAACCACUGGUCUACAGGCUUAUUUUAGCAAGUCCCUACUCAAGAUGUGUCUUGAACGGGAACUUGAGGGGACUUGUAGUCAGUUGUGCAUAAAACAAUCUCCUAAGCCCGUAAACCAGCAGGCAUUCCACCACAACCGAGGUCGCCCCGAGGUUCCCGCCCAUAAAUCGGGUGGGCCGGGCCCUACCUCGGUGGCAGCAUUGGGCCGGGAACGGUUUCAGAAGGCAUAAGGGAGUUGGGUGUUUUAUGUAACAGCAAAGGCAGUUGUCCCACAUCGGUUUUCAAGUAAAGAGAACCCACUCUGGGCCAUAAAUAUGGCCCAGCCACCAGCUUGUCAGGUAUGAUUAACUACCCUUAGUAAUUACAUUCAACCACCAAAUACUGACUUAACCUUCGGAGGAGGAAAGACCGAAAGCCCCCGGUCAUCUUUGUUAUUACAGGUCAACAAGAGGAUAGUCUAUCAUUCGACGAACACGCAAUCAGCUUCUGCAACCUCAUCCAGGAUUGUACAUAAACAGUUGGGAAUUGCCUUCUUCUUCUAUCUUCUUCGUUUUUCUGUGCUGUAAUAUAUUUUUCUGGCAAUCAGUGACCGGAAAAAGUCCGACGACGAGAAUCCGGUGAAAAAAUCCAGCGAUCGGAAAAAAUCCGGCAACCGAAUACCAGAAUCCGGUGACCAGUGAGGUUCCAGCCAAGUUUUCUCUCUCUCCCAUUUUCUCUCUCUAUGCAUCUUUAAAAGGUGAGGGCAAAAUAGUCAUAAAUUAAUAAUGUUUGUUAAGACUUUAAGUAAAGAUUUGUGCGUUUGGGUAUAAAAUAAGUUACCUUAUAUUCAAAUGGGUUCUUAAAAAAAAUAUUCAUUAAAAUGGGCGAUGAGGAGCUAAAAUUAAUAUUAAAUUGGCAUUUUCUCAAUAUAUUAUCAUAGUUGGAUAAAUUAGUUGACUAAACGUCUCUAGUUAUCCACUUUACGUAAUCAUUAGAAUUUAUGCAAUUAUCGGUAGGUAAAAUGUAUAUUUUAAGACUUCUAGUUCCACCAUGUUAGUUUUCUAACCAUAACCUAAUUUAGAUUAACUAAGUUAUUAUGAAGAUGAUGAUGAGGUGAAAAUUAUAUUUAGAUAUAAGGUUGGUUAGUGUGGAACCCCUAUAUCUAGAGUUCGAGGAUCAGCUCCCACCAACUUGUGGUCAACAAGUUUAAGAGGCCUUUAGAUUCGUGUGCCUUCAAUAGAAGAUUAGUCUUCCAACUGUGAUUAUGCAAGUAUGCAACAACUUUACGCAAAGAUUCUUUUAGGGUAUGAAUUCGAUCAUGGAGACCAUAUGUCACAUCUCGACCCUUAUAUUUUUACCUUAUUUACUAGCGUGUUUAUAAUAAGAAUUUUACCGUCCCGAUCAUUGAGUAAAUAGUUUAAUUGGUCCCUAGAGGGGUUUCGGGGACGAUUAUGUGCGGAGGAUAAUUCGUAUGAGGAAAAUACGACGACGGUAAAAAUGGUAAAUUUUAGCUAGUAAAAGGUAAUUUUUAUUCGGGUAUUAUUUUUCGGGGUGUUUUUAUUUUUGGAAGUUUGGGUUAAGUGUUGUGGACUGGGUUGGGGUGAGGCCCAAAACCUUUUUUCUCUUCUUCCUCUCUCCCGAUUUUCUCUCCUCCCACCCGGUUUUCCCCUCUCUACACCCAGAAGAAUUUCCGGCCGCCCUCCCGCCGCCGUCCGGCCUCCGUUCGCCGCCGGACCGGUCCCGUUCGGUCGGUCUCCCUCCCAGCUUCCAUUCUAGGCCGGUAGCAGCCCCCCUAGCGCCGCCGUGAGAGAGCGGUGCCGCCCGAAAGCAAAGGCUAUCCCGAACUUCCCUUCGCCGGAACUUCCUCCUCCGGCCACCAAUCCGGGCAAGCUUGGUACGGUUUUGUAGCCCUCCUCCCGUACAACAACCCCUCCAAGCAGCUCCCUCCCUCUUGAGCUAGGUAAGGAGAAAUGUGGAGUUGAAAUUUCUAGGCUUUUAAGUUAUUUUCGUUCGAUUAGCCUAGUUAGGCUUGGAAUUGGGUGAUGUGUUGGUCAUGAAAGUUGUAGAGGAGAUUGAGAGGAAGAUUCUGUUAAAAUUUGGUAGCAUUUGCAGGUCGCCGGAGUUGGUCGCCGGCCGCCGCUGCCGGCGGAGCCGCCGGCGGCGCCGCCGCCGGUUAGGAGAUUUUUAUGGUUUUAAAUGUGGAAUAUUAAGAGGAGUAUAUUGGUGUGAUUUAUGGAAUUUUGGGAGGAGAUUUGGAUAGGUUUGUGAAUUUCCAAAGUGUGGUAUUUUUGGCGGGUAAUUAAUGUAGAAUCCGGCCGUAGGAUUUAAGUCGUAUUUUGGAGAGGUUGUAUUUACGACUGUUGAGUUUGAUAUUUAAGUUCGGAUCGUUCCGAUGUAAGAAUAUCGAAGUUAGGCAAUGAUGAGCGUAAUUAUGGCUCUCGGGUAAUUUUGCCUAUUUUGAUUAAAUAUUGGAUUAUUUGGUUGGGAAUUAAUAUUAUAUUUGGAACAGGACGUGAGGAGGCUCGAGCAGACGAGACCCCAGAUCGACAUCAGGCUUAGGCCUAAUUUGUGAGUGGACUCUUAUUUGAAAUAAUAUGCAUGCUAUGGUUCAUGAUUGAACAUUUCCUUUUGUUGGAGUUUUGACGUCAAUUAAUUUUGACGCUUUUAUUUCUCUGAGAGAGAGUUACCGAAAAUGGGAUUUUCGGUGAAUAUAAAUAUGAAUAUAUGAGAGAGUAUGUAUAGAAAAUGCUAGCUAGCCAUAUGUGUCUGUCCACCUUAAUGGCGUAGCAUAUAGCCGCAUUAUGGUGUGACGUGAGCGUUGGACGUAAGCGUAGUAGCCCUAUUUGAGUGUUUAAUUCAUAUAGGGGGUAUGGACACAUAUUUAUACACCCGUCUGUCCACCUUGAUGGCUAGUGUAGCACCGCAUUAAGGCGUGACGUGAGCGUUGGACGCGAGCGUAGUAGCCCUAUAUAGACCCAUGAAUUUAUAUAGGGAGUAUGGACGAGUGUAAAUACAUACAUAUAUUAUAGAGUCUGAGAGGCUCGAUAUUUUAUGGGAUAAAAGUUUUAUCGCUUGCGGCAUGCAUUCGAUUUUUCCUUAGAAAUUAAUUUGGGGAAACAUAAAUAUUUUAAUUAUUAGUUUAUUUUUGUCCACUCACUCUAACGUUAUUAAAUGUUUUCCCCUGGGCCCUUCGUUUUAAAUUGCCCAGUCUGCAGAGUUCGGGUUGGAUCUAGUAGGAGACGAGGCAUAGUCACCCGCUUUUCUGCCAGUUUUCGCCAGUAGGUUACCUGUUCAACCUACUCGUGUUUUCUUGCUUCCGCUUGUGUUUAGUAGCUCUGAAUACUUUAGAAUUUUUGUAUAUUAUGUGUUAAAUUAAGAGUGUGAUAUUAAUUUUCGAGUUAGGGUUGUCCAUCUGCAAGGGAGAUUUUCUCAAUCUUUUCAGUAAAUUUUCCUUGGAGGUGGUCCCCGCACGACUUAUUCUGGGUUUCAGGGUGAAAUUCGGGAUGGGUCGUGUCACCAUAUAAAUCACAAAUACAUUAUGACUUGCGUAGAACGUUGUAAAGUCAUUGAAGAUGAGAUAGGUUGAGGGAAAAUGAAACACAUUAUGACAUGCAUCUCUCAAUGUAAUUUCCACUUCAUAACUUAAUUAGUUGAUUUUUUGUAUAGAAUUAACAAGAUUUAGUCACAGCAUCUCCAGUUGCAUAAGAUUACACGACCCUUACUUCUAAUUUCCAGUAAUGCAUGUUAAACCUAUAUGUUACAUAUCUUGAACAAGUAAUAUCCAUCAUGAUAAUUUCGUUUGUGCAAAGAAAAAGAAAAAGACAAAAAAAAGGGAAAAAGCCCUAAUGCACAAAAUAGAAAAAGUCAAACCCCAUUUCAAUGAUAAUCUUUUUUAUUAGCCCAUUUAAAUACAAGGUACUUAUUUUAAGCCCAAAUACACAAAUCUUUAUUAAAAUAUAAUAAAAUUAUAUUUUUAAAGACUUUUUUACCCUUAGCUUUUACUUAAAGAGAAAAAGUGAAAAAGAUGGAGAGAAGAUUUUGCCGGAAGCACACCGGGCUCCGGCGCCAGUCACCGGCGGCCGCAUUCCGGUCGCCGGACUCCGAACUCCGGCCGCCGGAAUCCGGUCACCGGUGACCGGAAUUUUCCGACGACCAGAAAAUUGCCUAGUAAACUUUUACUACCCCCAGUAAUCCUUUUUACUACCCCUAGUAAACUUUUAUUNNNN
rnacentral:lncRNA from 1 species